rnacentral:lncRNA from 1 species
UUUCUUUUUUUUUGCAAUAGAUGAACCGUUAGUUAGUUGUUCAUUAUUUUCUAUCUUACAUGCUAGCUAUUUUUUGGUUAUUUCCAGCUGAUGGCCAAGCAUGCUAUAGACUACAGCGUGUUUGGUGGGCCUCAAAACUUUGGAAAGUGGAUGGACGUGCACUCAGCUUCGUCUUGUCCUAUUGAGGUAAUAAAGGAUAUAUAUCUAUGGUUGUUUCGGUUUAUUUGAUCUUGUGCACGUGACUCUAAUAUGGUGGUUUACUGUUGCUUCUUGUUUCGUGCACAGGCGAGGGCACCUGUUGAGCAUCUAAUUGGGCAGUUUGCAUCCGGAAUGACCAACUUGCUUGGGAAGUUGGUUGAGGGGUGGACGUCCCUUAAUGGCUCUGACAGCGAUGCGGUUGCGAGGCAGUUCACUCCAUUUGUUGCAGAACGGACACAUCGUCCAACCGGUUGCCAUGCCUGGUAUGACUACAACAGUUCCCAGGAUCUUCCUGACACACAAGAUGAACUAGAUGGAGAUGCUGCUCUCGACAAGUACGAUGACAUGGAGAACAUGAAACACGACAUCGACGAUGAUGAACAUGUUGAAGUUCGUGCAGGUGGUAAGAAGGGCAAGGCUGCACCAGAUGUCCCCUCACUGAAGAAGGUCAAAGAACAUACAGCUGUGAGAGGCAAGGGGUGUUGCCCUCAAAGAGGGGGAGGGCUCCAGAGGAUGUUGGGCAGGGCUCUCCUGGCAAGAGGUCUAGGACCGAUCCCUUGGCUACUAGGAGGAGGUUCGACUUCUAUUUUAGUAUUUUGUUUUGUCUCUCCUUUUGAACAGACUGACCCUUUUUCCAUUUGUUUUGCCAAGCAUGGCCAUGAUUUUCGUGACUGACAAUUGGCACCUUUUUGCCACUUUCUUAUACGUGUAGUGAGCCGACAGCUAGUGGACGAGCAGUUACGAAGAAACAAGCACCAACGCCAACCCGUGUUUCUGCUCGACUGAACAAGGGUGCCCCCACUGCUGGUGACACCGCUUCCACCAGGUCAUCUCCUCGUACGACGACAUCCAACACCGGGGAUCCUGUCGUGUUGCCAAAUUUGAGGAAGAUAGUCAAGAAGUAGGUUAUCCUUGUUCUUUCAUUGCCAUAGUGCUAUAUUUUUGCUUUUCAAUGCAUCUGUUCAGCUUGCCACAUGGGCUACUGCCAUCAGUCCCACAUGGCAACUGCUGUUUUUCCAAUGAUCACUUUCUUUUUACUGCAUGUCAACUCCUGCUUGUUUUGCAUGGAAACUGCUAUCUAGGCUAAAUGGCAACUCUUAUUCCACCUACAUGCCAACUACCAGCUUUCCUUUGGCUUGUGUGCUCAUCCAUAUCUAGUUUUAAAAUUGCAGCCCUGGCACAUCAGACAUUUUUUUCAUUUUUCAAGAAGGCUACGAUGGCAACUCCUGCUUGUUCUGCAUGGCAACUGCUAACUAGGCCACAUGGCAACUCUUAUUCCAGCUACAUGGCAACCACCAGCCUUCCAUUGACUUUGUGUGCUCAUCCAUACCUAGUUUUUAAAUGGCAUCUCUAGCACAUCACACAUUUUUUCAUUUUUUAAGAUGGCUACCAUGGCAAAUAUUUUUUGUUCAUUUUUUAAUACUUUUCAUGUUCGUUUUCUUUGCAGGGUGAAGAAGACUACUACGCGCGUGACCAAGCAGAACAUUAGAGACCCACUCAAACACCUUCAUUCAAAGCUGUCGAUAGGUGGCAACUCAGAUGUUCAUGAGGCGCCAAUCGACAAGACUGGUGCUGCACCGGCAACUGUUCCGACUAGCUCUGAUGCAAGCGGUCGACCAUCUCCGCCGGUUGCAGAUGUGCAGGCUACAACAAUAGGCAUCCGUUCAUCUGGGAGUGACGAGUCGGUAUCUGCCAGGACUGCUGAAAUAUUGCCCACUCUGCUGGCAAUGAAGGAUGCUGUUGUGAGCCAUGCCACCCGAUCAGCAAGUGUUGAAGUGGACGCCCCCGAGAUCAACCUAAGUAAGGAAGAUUCCUGCUCAUCUGACACGGAUUCCAAACGCGUGGGUGGUGGCACUUCUGCGUCCACGAAAGAAGGGGCUGAGGUGACAGUUCAUAAUGAUAUGCCAUCCACGGGUGAGAGUCUUGGCACAACAGCUCUAGCUUCUGGUGGUCCAGAGGUUGCUAAGGCGACCGUUUCGCGAGCUCGCCUUCCACCUAGGUGUCGUAGCCCCCGCAAGCAAUCAGUAGACAUACCCAAUGCACCGGCUGUAGCUAGGAGCAGAAGAGAUGACUCUGGUUAUGUGCCUGCGUCCACACUGUUCCCACCACCUACCAAAAGCAAUGUUAUGGAGAAAACGGAAGAUCGAAGUACAACUGACCCAGGUGGUAAGCCGGGCACGACUGACGGAGGUGAACGUCCGGAGCAGACUGCGCCUGCACCCGCCGUGGAGUACCCCAGCUUAAAUCUGUGCACUUCUAAGCUCCCAGUCAACGUUGGUGUCCCCUACAGCCCAAACAAGAAGAUUGUCAAGAAAGCUGCGACUGAUACCGCUAAAAACACCCCCGCCCUAUGAAUAAGCCCGAUGAUUCUGCAGUGGCCGAUGCAGAAAUGUUUGUUGAUCUUUCACCCUUGGAUUCUGCCCAGCAAGUUGUUCGCGGUCCGGCCAGUAGGCAGGAGAGGCACCCAAUGGCCUUCACCCCACCGAGCUUUAGCCUUGGCAUUAGUCAAGAUCAUCCAGUGGUGCAAGAUCCUACGCCAGUUGCCUUUGCUUACCCAGUAGGCAUGGCCGCAAUGACGGCACAGCCAAUGGUCGAGGGCAGGAAGGCUGUGAAGUUUGCAGAGCCGAUUGUGCAAGGUACAUUUCUUCUAUGCUUAUCAUUUUCUUGUAUACAUCUUUUUAGUAUGACUUUUGUCCCAAGCAUUUUUUUGGGGGUUCUCACUUGUGAUGGCAAAUGUUAUCUUAUGGACAUGGCAACUGGAUUUGUUGCACAUUUGUCACCUACAUUUUUGUUGCCAUGUUUUAUUUUUCCAUUCAGCAAGGACAUGGCAACUGGAGUUGAUACGGCAUGGCAACUACAAUGCACUACAUAGGGCAACUCCCUAUGUUUUGUACCUACAUUUCAUAUUAUGCACCCUUUACUUUCACACUAAACUUGUUUUGUUUUCCAGGUAUCCUAACCCACUUUUUUGAUCCUUCCAACCACCCAUGAGGAGAUUACGCCGUCACUUGAUGAAGCUUACCGCAGGAUUGAGGAGACAACAUUGCAGAGGAGGUCGUCACGAGGCCAGGGAAAAUCAAGUUCUAACAUGCUUGCUAAGACGGUAUCAGAGGAUACCAUUAGAAGUGCCACCCCUGGUUCUGUGAGGCAGCAUAUGGUAGUUCACGCACCAUCCGCGGAUGAUUACGAGCCAGAAGUCAAGGCCACAAAGGAUCAGAACCAGCUGUAUGAUAUUGUCAAGCGCUUUGGAAAUGCGAGGUCCAAUAGCAAUCACAUGAAGGAGCUGAAAGCGUAAUGACCACACCACAUAACCUCUCAUUUGCUUCGCUCUUUUUACUAUUGCUUGAUAAAAACAAAAAUUUUGAUGCGAAGUGCUACUUGGCAUAAUUUCAAUGUAAAUCUUCUUAAUUGUGGUAUGAAUAUUCAGAUUCAAAAGAUUCAAGACAAAAGUUCAUGUUGACAUAAAAAUAAUAAUACUUCAAGCAUACUAACAAAGCAAUUAUGUCUUCUCAAAAUAACAUGGCCAAAGAAAGCUAUCCCUACAAAAUCAUAUAGUCUGGCUAUGCUCUAUCUUCACUACACAAAGUAUUUAAAUCAUGCACAACCCCGAUGACAAGCCAAGCAAUUGUUUCAUACUUUUGACAUUUUCAAAACUUUUUCGAUCUUCACGCAAUACAUGAGCGUGAGCCAUGGAUAUAGCACUAUAUGUGGAAUAGAAUGGUGGUUGUGGAGAAGACAAAAGAGGGGAAGAUAGUCUCACAUCAACUAGGCGUAUCAACAAGCUAUGGAGAUGCCCAUCAAUAGAUAUCAAUGUGAGUGAGUAGGGAUUGUCAUGCAACGGAUGCACUAGAGCUAUAAGUAUAUGAAAGCUCAACAAAAGAAACUAAGUGGGUGUGCAUCCAACUCGCUUGCUCACAAAGACCUAGGGCAUUUUGAGGAAGCCCAUCAUUGGAAUAUACAAGCCAAGUUAUAUAAUGAAAAAUUCCCACUAGUAUAUGAAAGUGACAGAAUGAGAGACUCUCUACCAUGAAGAUCAUGGUCAUACUUUGAAGCACAAGUGUGGUAAAAGGAUAGUAACAUUGUCCCUUCUCUCUUUUUCUCUCAUUUUUUUGUUUGGGCCUUUUCUUUUCUUUUUUUAUGGCCUCUUUUUUUUCGUCCGGAGUCUCAUCCCGACUAGUGGGGGAAUCAUAGUCUCCAUCAUCCUUUCCUCACUUGGGACAAUGCUCUAAAAAUGAUGAUCAUCACACUUUUUAUUUUUCUUACAACUCAACAAUUACAACUCAAUACUUAGAACAAAAUAUGAUUCUAUAUGAAUGCCUUCGGUGGUGUACCGGGAUAUGCAAUGAAUCAAGAGUGACAUGUAUGAAAGAAUUAUGAACGGUGGCUUUGCCACAAAUAUGAUGUCAACUACAUGAUCAUGCUAGCAAUAUGACAAUGAUGGAGGGUGUCAUAAUGAACGGAACGGUGGAAAGUAGCAUGGCAAUAUAUCUCGGAAUGGCUAUGGAAAUGCCAUGAUAGGUAGGUAUGGUGGCUGUUUUGAGGAAGGUAUUUGGUGGGUGUAUGAUACCGGCGAAAAGUGCGCGGUACUAGAGAGGCUAGCAAUGGUGGAAGGAAGGAAAGUGCGUAUAAUCCAUGGACUCAACAUUAGUCAUAAAGAACUCAUAUACUUAUUGCAAAAAUCUAGAAGUUAUCAAAGCAAAUUAUUACGCGCAUGCUCCUAGGGGGAUAGAUUGGUAGGAAAAGACCAUCGCUCGUCCCCGACCGCCACUCAUAAGGAAGACAAUCAAUAAAUAAAUCAUGCUCCGACUUCAUCACAUAAUGGUUCACCAUACGUGCAUGCUACGGGAAUCACAAACUUUAACACAAGAAUUUCUCAAAUUCACAACUACUCAACUAGCAUGACUCUAAUAUCACCAUCCUCAUAUCUCAAAACAAUUAUCGAGCAUCAUUGUUUUUUCUUAGUAUUCAAUGCACUCAAAAGAAAGUUUUACAAAUCUUUAAUACCAAGCAUAUUAUUAUUAAGCAAAUUACCAUGCUAUUAAAACUCUCAAAAUAAUCUAAGUGGAGCAUGAGAGAUCAAUAGUUUCUAUAAAACAAUUCCACUACCGUGCUCUAAAAGAUAUAAGUGAAGCACUAGAGCAAAACUAUAAAACUCAAAAGAUAUAAGUGAAUCACUGGAGUAAAACUAUAGAGCUCAAAAGAUAUAAGUGAAGCACAUAGAGUAUUCUAUCAAAUUCCAAAUUAUGUAUGGCUCUAUCAAAAGGUGUGUACAGCAAGGAUGAUUGUGGUAGACUAACAAGCAAAGACUCAAAUCAUAAAAGACGCUCCAAGCAAAACACAUAUCAUGUGGUGAAUAAAUAUAUAGCUCUAAGUAAAGUUACCGAUAGAAGUAGACGAAAGAGGGGAUGCCUUCCGGGGCAUCCCCAAGAUUUGGCUUUUAGGUGUCCUUAUAUUAUCUUGGGGGUGCCAUGGGCAUCCCCAAUCUUAGGCUCUUGCCACUCCUUGUUCCAUAAUCCAUCAAAUCUUUACCCAAAACUUGAAAACUUCACAACACAAAACUUAAAGUAGAAAAUCUCGUGAGCUCCGUUAGCGAAAGAAAACAAAAGACCACUUCAAGGUACUGUAAUGAACUCAUUCUUUAUUUAUAUUGGUGUUAAACCUACUGUAUUCCAACUUAUCUAUGGUUUAUAAACUAUUUUACUUGCCAUAGAUUCAUCAAAAUAAGCAAACAACACACGAAAAACAGAAUCUGUCAAAAACAGAACAGUUUGUAGUAAUCUGUAGCUAGCGCAACAUAUGGAACCCCAAAAAUUCUAAAAUAAAUUGAUGGACGUGAGGAAUUUAUCUAUUAAUCAUAUGCAAAAAGAAUUAACUAAAUUUCACUCUCCAAAUAAAAAUGACAGCAGUUCUCGUGAGCGCUAAAGUUUCUGUUUUUUUACAGCAAGUUCAACAAGACUUUCCCCAAGUCUUCCCAACAGUUCUACUUGGCACAAACACUAAUUAAACACAAAAAACACAACCAAAACAGAGUAUAAAUAAUUUAUUUAUUACUAAACAGGAGCAAAAAGCAAGGAAUAAAAAUAAAAUUGGGUUGCCACCCAACAAGCGCUAUCGUUUAACGCCCCUAGCUAGGCAUAACAAGCAAGAAUAGAUCUAGGUAUUGCCAUCUUUGGUAGGCAAUUAUUCAAUGAGGCAUCUAUCUCCCUUAGGAAUUUCUUUCUUUCUAGUUAUUAUCAAACUCUUAGGCACAAGAUCGAAAAAUUCAUUUGUAGCAAUUGGUUCCUUAAUGAUAGCAAAAAGAUUGGGAUGAAUACUUAUAGAUUUGAGAUCCACAGUUUCCUUACUAGAUGAUUCACCCUUAUUUUUAGGAACAUACAUAAGCUUGGCAAUUUUAGUAGGAGGACUUGGAGUAUUCUUUACGGAAGAAAAGGUGGUUCCCAAGUUCGUAAUGAAACCCUCAAGUUUAUCGAUUCUAGUGGAAUCUAGAUUUAUUUUCUCAUUAACUAUGGGUUCCUUUUUCUUAAUAUUUUCCAAAGUCAUUCCCACCUUAGAUCCAUAUUGGGUAAUUUGAUCGUGGAUCUUUUUAUCUAGAUUUUCAAUUAAUUCAAUGGUAGCAACUUUAUUUUCAAUAAUUUCAAGUCUUUGCAUAACAUGCUCCAAAGUUAACAUAGUUCCAUUAACCAAAAGAGGUGGUGAGCCAAAUAAAUCUAGCAUAGCAUUAUAAGAAUCAAAAGUAUGGCUACCCAAUAAAUUCCCUCCGGUAAUGGUAUCAAGGAUAUAUCUAUACCAAGGACUAGCACCUACAUAAAAAUUGCGGAGAAGAACUGAAGUAGAUUGCUUCCUGGUAGAUCUAUUUUGAGCAUUGCAAAUUCUAUACCAAGUAUCUUUUAGAUUUUCUCCCUCCCUUUGUUUAAAAUUUAGAACUUCAUUCUCGGGAGACAAUGGAGAAGAUAUGAGACUAGCCAUGACGACAAGCAAGCAAACAAAAGGGAAACGGGCAAAAGAGGCAAAUAGAGAAAGAGAGGGAGGAUAGAGAGAGAGAGAGAGAGAGGGGGCGAAUAAAUGGCAAGGGUGAAGUGGCGGAGAGGAAAACGAGAGGCAAAUAGAAAAUAAUGUAAUGCAGGAGAUAGGAAUUGUGAUGGGCACUUGGUAUGUUGACUAUUGCGCAGACUCCCCAGCAACGGUGCCCGAAAUUCUUCUUGCUACCUCUUGAGCACUGCGUUGGAUUUUCCCGAAGAGGAGAGGAUGAUGCAGCAAAGUAGCGUAAGUAUUUCCCUCAGUUUUUAAGAACCAAGGUAUCAAUCCAGUAGGAGGCUACGCACGAGUCCCUCGUACCUACACAAAAACAAUAGAUCAAUGCAACCAACGCGCUUAGGGGUUGUCAAUCCCUUCACGGUCACUUACGAAAGUGAGAUCUGAUAGAGAUGAUAGAUAAUAUUUUUGGUAUUUUUGGUAUAGAGAUGCAAAGUAAAAAGUAAAAGGGCAAAGUAAAAAAGCAAAGCAAUAACAAAGUGAUGGAGAUUGAUAUGAUGAGAAAGAGACCAGGUGGUCAUAGGUUUCACUAGUGGCUUCUCUCAAGAGCAUAAGUAUUCUAUGGUGGGUGAACAAAUUACUGUUGAGCAAUUGACAGAAUUGAGCAUAGUUAUGAGAAUAUCUAGGUAUGAUCAUGUAUAUAGGCAUCACGUCCGAGACAAGUAGACCGACUCCUACCUGCAUGUACUACUAUUACUCCACUCAUCUACCGCUAUCCAGCAUGCAUCUAGAGUAUUAAGUUAAAAACAGACUAACGCCUUAAGCAAGAUGACAUGAUGUAGAGGGAUAGUUUCAUGCAAUGUGAUAAAAACCCCAUCUUAUUAUCCUCGAUGGCAACAAUACAAUACGUGCCUUGCUGCCCCUUCUGUCACUGGGAAAGGACACCGCAAGAUCGAACCCAAAGCUAAGCACUUCUCCCAUGGCAAGAAAAACCAAUCUAGUAGGCCAAACCAAACUGAUAAUUCGAAGAGACUUGCAAAGAUAACCAAUCAUACAUAAAAGAAUUUAGAGAAGAUUCAAAUAUUAUUCAUAGAUAGACUGGAUCAUAAACCCACAAUUCAUCGGUCUCAACAAACACACCGCAAAAAGAAGAUUACAUCGAAUAGAUCUCCACGAGAGAGGGGGAGAACAUUGUAUUGAGAUCCAAAAAGAGAGAAGAAGCCAUCUGGCUACUAACUAUGGACCCGUAGGUCUGAAGUAAACUACUCACACUUCAUCGGAGGGGCUUGGAUGAUGAUGUAGAAGCCCUCCGUGAUCGAUGCCCCCUUCGGCGGAGCUCCGUAACAGGCACCAAGAUGGGAUCUCAUGGAUACAGAAAGUUGUGGUGCUGGAAUUAGCUUUUUGGCUCCGUAUCUGAUCGUUUGGGGGUAUGUAGGGAUAUAUAGGAGGAAGGAGUACGUCGGUGGAGCUUCGAGGGGCCCACGAGGCAGGGGGCACGCCCUAGGGGGGGCGCCCUCCACCCUUGUGACCGCCUCGUGGCUUUCUUGACGGAGGGUCCAAGUCUCCUGGGUCUUGUCUGAUGAGAAAAUCGUGUUCCCAAAGGUUUCAUUCCGUUUGGACUCCGUUUGAUAUUCUAUUUCUCCGAAACACUGAAAUAGGCAAAAAACAACAAUUCUGGGUUGGGCCUCCGGUUAAUAGGUUAGUCCCAAAAAUAAUAUAAAAGUGGAAAAUAAAGCCCAAUAUAGUCCAAAACAGUAGGUAAUAUAGCAUGGAGCAAUCAAAAAUUAUAGAUACGUUGGAGACGUAUCAUUGCUCCAUUUGUUAUUUUCUAGAUAUGCUCCGUUUACAUUUUAUUUCUUUUUUACUUAGUAGGCAUGAUUCUUUCAUGUUAUAUCAUUUUCAUAUAGCUCAUGUUUGGACAGAACCAAGAUCAUACAAUGUGAUGCGACAUAUGUUGACCUGGGUGAUCUUGCCGAGUCUGUGAGGCCACUCGGUAAAAUGUUGAAGAAUGUAGUUGCAUGUGGGAUUGACUCCAUCAACAGGCAUAUGUAUAUGUCUCCCGACAAAACAAUCAUGCAGUACAGUGUGACGUGCAAAAUAUGGGAUGGUGACUUCCACCACAAAAUCCUGAGGAAGCAUUUUGCUGCGCAUGGUGAUUUCAAGCUCACAAUGCAGAAAUGUGUGAGUACUCCUUCCUUUUUUGCACAUUUUUUCCUCCCAUGGUAAGUUUUGCCAGUAGCUAUGCUUCAGAUGUGGGCUACACCCUGUUUUGUGAUAGCUGUUUCAUGUGGCAACAGCUGCCAUGUAAAAUGACUUCUGAUUUGCUUCUUACUACAACCUAUGUGGCAACUUCAAACUAAAAUUCAGGGCAACUUUGUUCAUACAUGGAUGGCAACUUCUUUUAAUUACCCACUAUAAAUAAACAUUCUACGUGGGUUUACUUUUUUGGACCCUUGCUGCUUUUAUGUCACUCAUGUGCCUGUUAGUGCAACCGCUGAUAUUUUUACACGUCAUUUUCCCAAUUACAUCAUUUAUGUUCUUCAUGUGAACUCUGCUUCUUCUGUCCUUCAUUUUACUUGCAGGUCUUCUCCCCCAUGUUCCAGGAGCUUUCACCACACGACCCACACGACAAGUGUGGUCACCACUACGCGAUCUGCCUUAACCUAAAGAACCAACGUUUUGAGGUGCUUGAUUUAAUGUGUUCAGAAGCUGAUGCAGACCUUACUACGCAUGUUGAAUACUUCAUCAACAACCUCAAAGAGACAUGGAACCGUCACUAUGAAAACUCAAAGGUCCAGAUCAGACAUUUUCCAAUUGAUAACGUGGCGACUACGAAGCAAGGAAACUGUAUUUUCCCAUCUUUUCUUCAUGUGUCCUCUAAACCAAUGCUUACCCUCUUUUGUCACCUCUGAAUUGAAGUUUAUGAUUUUUUUUCUCUGUUCUUCUGAGUUAACCUAAUUCUUUUCUUGUUUAGGCACGACUACGGCUUUCACACAUUGGAAUACCUUGCAAAGUGGGAAGGUCGACGGGUUCCUGUCGUCACAGCUGCAAUGGUCGUCGAGCUCCGCAAAAUUUACACAUGGAACUGGUUGAUGAAUGAAGAUUUCAACACGCGCUCCAACGCACGUGAGUUCAUAGCAGAAGCUGUCAAGAAAGCCACCAAGAAGUACAAGUGAUCACGUGGUGCUCCAUACCGAACGCCUACCUUACAUUCUGUUGCCGAGGAAUGUAAGGUAUUACUUUUGUUCUUUUCAAAACCAUGUCCGUGUACUAUGUUAUGACUGCAUCUCCGUGUAGCCUAGUAUGUAGUGGUGGUGUGUGAGCGACAUUUGAAUAUUUUUCUGUAAUAUAUGUGUGGAUGUGAACCUAAUUAGGUGUGACAGCAGAUAUGUUUAUGGUUUUCAGUAUUAUUACGCGUUUCAUCGUUGGUAGUACCAGCUUCGUGUUUCAAAUACGUCUACGAUGUUUGAAAACAUGGUAAAUGUAGUUCAUCAGACACAGUUAGUGAAAGUUAUCGUCCUUCUUCAUUUGUCUGUUUGGUUCUUUUUUUUCAUUGCUAACUGUAACGGCUAGCAUGGUAGUCUGAUCACGCAGCCGUAACCUGUGCGGUUGCUGCACGUGACUGUUUCAACUUGUUUCCCAUAGUUUGCACCACAAUACAAUAUGUGUGACUAAUGACUGGACAUGGAAAUCUGCGUGAUGCGGAGUCAGUAGAACUAACAUGGCAUAUUCAGUACAACUAACAUGAUAGAUUCAGUACAAAUAACAUGGCAAAUUCAGUACAAAUGGCAUGGCAGAUUCAGUAGAAAUUGCAUGUCAGAUUCAGUUUAAGUAACAUGGCAAAUUCAGUACCCUACAUGUGGCAACUGUAGUUAUUCAUUCAUGGCAUUUUCCUUCAAAUUCUGAUGUCCCUCAAGAGUCAUUCUCCAAUUGUUACAAAAUUUAGAACAUCCAGAUUACAAAAAAUGGUCACGAAGGACCAAGUCACAUUGCUCCAAUGUUGCUUAUGGAUUGCCCGUCCCUUUCUUUGGUUUCUUGUGUUUUGCUUGAAUCUCCAAUCCCGAUUUGUAUCUUAUCUCUUUUGGACCCCCUUUUGUGAUGGAACGGGGCGGGUUCCUAACCUGGGUUUGUGUGCUUGCUGUUCCAGAUCCUACCUUCGAGUUUUCAGAUGAUGGCCCCAUGGACCAAGGCACACUUGAUGUGCGGGGGAACCUGUGUAAGGCUUCCUCAGCUUUCCUCUUCUUGAUCUCAUCAAGCUCUCUUUUGAGGGCCUUCCUGUGUUUUUCUGCGACCCUCGCUGUCUCAUCACUCUUGCACGCUUCAUCAAUUAGUUCAGCAUAGUUCUUUGUCAACACAACGUGCCUCACGGCUUCCAUGGUUGACUCUGGUCUCUCAUCAUGCACAGCCAAAACUGCGUUUGAUGUUUGCGGCGCCAAUGCGUCGUCAGCGUCCCAAGUCCAUCGCCGCCUUAUGAAAUGGUGGGGCAUUCAUGUCACCGCGUUCAUGUUCAUUACUUUUAGUAUGUGACAACACACAAUUCCGUCCCGUUUGAAUUUGCAGCAUUGGCAGUAGUAUUCGCCUUCGCUUAUCGAUGCCUUCACAAAGUAGUUCCUUCCCUUGUCCGGGUCUUCAGGUUCUGAAUCCGACAUGCCCAGGAUAGAACACACCUUGAACGUAUGUUCGUCCACCUGGAAAGCCGUGUACAUGCUGGCACGCUUUAUUUCUUCCUGGAAUCUGCAAGUUUUGUGUGGUUUUGUUAAACUCGUGUGUGAAGUUUUUUGUAGCACCUUAUGUUGUUGUGGGCCAAUGGAAGUACAGUUCGUUCAAACAUGGCAACUACAUUUCAAUGAACAUGGCAACUGCAGUUGAGGAAACAUGGCAAGUACAGUUCAUUAAACAUGGCAACUACAGUUCAUUAAAUAUGGCAAUUGCAGUUCAUUAAACAUGAAAACUGCAGUCCAUUAAACAUGGCAACUGCAUAACAACUUCAUUUGGAAUUUGCAUUCCAUACCAUCAUGGCCAAUGGAAAUACAGUUCAUUAAACAUGGCAACUGCAGUUGAGUAAACAUGGCAACUGCACUUGAGUAAACAUGGCAACUGUAGUUCAUUAAACAUGGCAAAUUGUAGUCAUUAAACAUGGCAACUACAUAUCAUGGUUACUCUGUACUCGAUGGCUACUUUUCAAAAAAUCAUCAUUUUCAAAUAAGCUUUUCAACUGCAUUGCAUUCUACAUGGCACCUACUACCUUCAUGCUUGUGCAAAUAAGAUUGUACCACAAAUGACUUACUUGUUAAGAAUCUUGUUGGUGUAUAUCUUGCUCAUCUGCCUCUCCAUCGGUAAAUACGUUAGCAAUUUUGGCUACUUGAGCGCGCUGUUCGCUUCUUGUUGUAGCUCAGAUCCCAGUAUUUUUUGUUGCAAAGCGGUGUACUGCCUGUCAAACUGUAGCAAUGAGUUGCCAGGGCUCACAUACCGCUUCAAAACAGCAUUGAACCCCUCACUGUGCUGUGUAGUCUGCAGAAACAGGAAGAAGCACUACAUGAAGUAGGUCGGCACCCAGUACAUUCGCUUUUCCCACAGGCUAGCAAGCGUCUCGUGGUCUUGGACUUGAUAUGUUUCAAUCAUAGCCAUCCAGCUCCUUUCAAACUCCUCCAUCGUCAAGUUGUGGUCCACGCACAGCUCAAAUGCCUUGUGCAGCUCUAGACGGUCAGCAAAGAACGGCCCUAGCGUCUCCUUAGCCUUCUUUAUAAUGUGCCAGCUGCAUUGCCUGUGCAAUGCCAACAAAAAGACCUCCUCUAUGCCUACACGCAUGCUAAAAUCCUGGUCUGUUAUUAUGUUCAUCGGAGCAAGUCCACCCAUGCACUCAAAGAAGGUCUUGAACAGCCAAGUGUACCCAUCCAUGUCUUCGUUCCGAACGACCCCGCAACUGAACUGCAAUGACUGAUUGUGCUUAUUUAUUCCUAUGAAUGGAGCGCAUGGCAUCUUGUACAUAUUAGUGAGAUAUGUCGCGUCGAAUGAAAUGCAGUCUCGGAAAUGUUUGUAGGCUCUUCUUGCAGCACCAUCCACCCAAUGCAUGUUCCUAACACGGUCCUCAUCGUCCAAUCUUAUCAUGUAGAAGAAAUCUGGAUCUUCUUUCACUUUCUCAUCGAAGUAGGCUAUUGUGGCUUCUAUGUCAGCCAACUUGCUUUCUCUAUGGUACUUUGCCUUUAGGUUUGUGACGUCUGCCGGUAUGUAGGGCAUGCUACUCAGAGUCCCAUUUUUGCUGUGGAUGAGGGAGAGUAUUCGGACCAUUCUUGAUGGACCGACGUUACAAUCAUGUAGCAGCUUUAUGAAUUUCUUCUCGAGGGGGGUGAAUCCUCUGUGGGCGGUCAGAAAUUUUACCAAGUCAAACUUCUUAUGAGCUCGUGGUUGUGCUCGUCAAAAUAUUCAGUGACCACCCAUCGUGCUCCAUCUACGUUCAGCUUACACCGAACAGGGCAUUCCGUCUUGACAAUGAUACCUCUGUUUCGUUCCGGAACGACAGGCGCAUCACCUUUGCCCUUCUUGUUUCUUCGUGCCUUGUAGCACCUCAUCUCACCUCUGUUGUACUCGUUAGUUUUUUUAAUUUUCCUAUGGCAUUCGGUGUUGACCGCAAACCCAUGGAACUUUGCAUAUGUCUAGUAGAAUUCCUUUGCAUCUUCAAACGAAUCAAAUCUCUGCCCAACAUACGGUGGCUGAGGUACGAUGAUUUCUGAUUGCCCACCAUCUUCAUCCCCUUGUGCUUCGUCAUCGGUUUCAUCAUUCACUUCAGUAUCGGCUGCUAUUUCAUCUGCUUGAGUGUUGCUUGUGCUGGUGUACAAAGGUGUGCUUGUCGGCAUUGCUGGAACGAUUGCCAUUUCCGACACUGACUCGGCAUUGUUUGUGGCAUGAGUGUUGGUUGGCUAGUGGAACGUGUCUUCCGUGUGCUCAGAGCUCCCCGCAGUAGAUGUCCCUUCGCCGCUAUUAAUUGUAGUUGAAGGUCCUGCAAUAAAAAAUCAAGUACGAGCGUAAGAUUUUGCUUGAAUGGCAUGUUUAUCGUAACAGAGUACAGCAACUGCAUGUGAUUUUGCAUGACAUCAUUCACACAGCUAGCCAUGAAUCUGCAUAUGGCCAUGCAUGGCAAUUGUAAUUCUCCAGUAAUGGCAGCUACUAUUGCCAAUACAUGGCAACCAGCUUCUUUUAGCAUAAAAACUUGGAUUCUAUAGCCAUGGCAGCUACAGUCCAACAUACAUGUUAACUACUAUUGUCAAUACAUGGCAACCGGUAUAUUAUAGCAUCGAAACUUGUAUUCUAGGCCUGAGCUCAAUAGGCAAAUGUGAUCAAUCAUGAAUGUUGCACACACUCUUAUAGCAAUUGGCAAAUCUUGAAGAAAAUAUAUGACUAUUUGCACACGGCCACUUGGUAGCAUUUUUUGUUUGUUUUUUCCACCACCACCGUUACAAAUCUACUUUUCCUCACAUGCUAUUCCCACAAAAGCAAAUGCGGUACUGCUUUCUGGUUCACAUUUUUUACCUUGUUGUGUUGCAUGUGUUGAUCUUGUGUGGUCUGUCAUUCCAAUUUGAUGUGCUCUAUCUGCAAUAGCGUUGUCCUGCAACUGUGAAGCUUGCCAUGAGACGUUUGUCGAUGUGGUUCCACCGUAACAACCUGCGAUCAUGGUAGCAGUUGGUCAUUGCAUGGCAACUAUAGUUUGUUCAACAUGGCACAUGUUGUGGUCCAACCAUGCCACACAAAUUUGUUCACACUUGUCAUCCACGGUUGUUUAGACAUUGCAAUCACAUUUGAUUAAACAUGGCAACUGCAGUUGUCCAGGCAUGGCAACUACAGCUGUCAGAUAUGUUCCUUUCUCCUAACUCACUGUCCACAACUUCACUUCAUGCACUCACCUGUGUACGACGUUGAUGGAAGGUACAUGGUUGCCGCCUGAUGCCACGUGCUGCAUGAAGGUCCUACAUUUUUCCGACGUAACUCGUGAGUCUUUUUCCAUCCUUGCAAGUUUAAUUUCAUGUCCACAAUAGUAAGUUUCUUUUUCAUAUGUGUUACCUUGAUUUUCCACAUUAGCUAGCUGAAGUUGGUUCCCCGUACAUUUGCCAGCGUUAGCGCCCUGUGACUGAACUUGCUAUGCUGCCCCCCUGAUUGUGGUUUGGUCAUAAGAACCUGCUAAAAAUUAGAUUGUAGGACAUAAGUAGAAUGACAUCUUCAUCGUCACGAACAUGGCAACUAUUUAUUUUUUUGUUUAUCAUGCAUCGUACCGAUGCCCGCGUAGUGCUCUAGUAGUGGCAGCAAUGGCCCUGAAGAAAUGAGUUGGUUGUACUCUACUGCGUCCCAAGGUGGCGUUUCCGGCCUUUGAGAAAGCCAAGGAUCAGUGUCGUCUUCGUGAUUCAUUCUUCUGCUUUUUUUCCACCACUGUGUUGUUAGUCACUGCAUGAACAAGAACGCAUCAACAAUCCGCAAAAGGCAUUCUUGUUGUUUGCACGUAGAAGAUAACACGGCAAUCUUAUCACAUUUCUUGUGUACGCAACCAACACCUCAUGGCAAGUAGGACAUGCACAUUCAUUCUCUUUUCUGAAUUCUGGAUGCUAGCUAUCACUUUGAAGCGAUGGCAACAGACAAUAAAAUAGGAUGGCAAGCAACAAGAUAACAUGGUGGCAACUAAGGACAACGAUAGAUGGCAACUGACGUUAGAUACAAGUGGUAAUUAUUUUUCCUCCCUCCCUAUGCCAAAUUCCUCCUUUCUCUCCCUAUUUUUAGUGAUUCCUACACAUGCUUCAUUACCAACUGCUCGCACCAAGCCAACCCAGAAGCUUGGCACAACUCUAGCAUAGUAUAUGGCAGAUCUGGCGUAUGUUGGUGGGCAAAUGUGAAGACACACAAAUUCGUGGGGUGUUUGCCCUGAUAGCGUGGAUCCAGUUGCCAUCUUCGUGGGCAAAUUUGCAAUUUCAGAUUUCUGGAUAGAAGAAGACCGAGAAACAGAAGGAGAUCAGAGAUCCACUUGCUUUAGUUCGUCGUCUUGGGAGGGCGGGGUUGGGGUGGGAGGGGUCGGUGGGUGGGUGGUUAGCAGUGGGAAGGCGCUAUGGAUCUGCUCUGGUUGCCAUGGCAACCAGAGAAGGAAGGCGAUGGAGGUAGGGGAUCGAGAGGUGGGAGACGAUGGCGGCAGGGCGGACUAGGGAUCCAAAGGAGCCCGGGACGACUGGCGUGUUGGGUCGUGUGGGCAGCGCGGUCGUUUGACCCGGAUGUGUGGACGGUUUUGCCACACACUGGACGUGCGAGCUGUGGCUGCGCGCGCCCGGACGCGGCCGUGCGGGCGGGUUCUUCUCCAUGCCACACGAGGCGUGCAGCACAACCACCCGAUACACCACACGUGUGGCAAUUAUUGACGUCCUAGAUAAUUUAGCAACCACAAAAAAGUUAAAGGUAGGCGCUGUCGCACGGGAGCACGAAGAAGUCGACCUCGGAGGUGGCCGGCGACAUCUGGCCGAGGAGCUUGAGCAGGUAGUACCCGCGCGCCAUCCUGAACUUGCCGCUGCCGCCCACGAUGUUGCGCUCGGAGGUUCCCUGGAAGCCCUGGAAGGAGCCCUCCACGGACAGCGCGCUCCCGGCGUGCUCCCCGCCGACGAACACGACGGUGGCGACCGUCAGGUGGCCCUGCAGCGCCUGCCCCAUGGCGACGAUGAUGCCCUGGUACCGCGCCACGAGUGGCGAGUCCCGCUCCCGGCCGGUGCGGAGCUCGUCGUCGAACACGGCCACCUGCCCGAACGUCGCGUUGGCGCCGAAGGGGGACGGCACGAGGAGCCCCUCCAUGGCGUUCGGGCCCGAGAGCGUCUCGUGAGUGUACUGGUGGAUGUGCGUCAGCUUUUUCUUCCCGCCGUCGGCUGCGAGGACGGCGGGUAUGACGAGGAGGAGGAGGAGCGACGGUAUCGGCGACAUAGUGGUUUGCUGAAUGAGUUCUGUUGCUGCUGUCGCCGUCGGCUCAUGGUUCUGCUUUUGUAGGAAGAGAUCUCCCACUUUCGCCAUAAUUCUCAGACGGUGGAGUGGGGCUCACAUGGAAGGUUGGCUGGCGGGGGACAGGGAGAACUGGAGAAGCAAUAAUGCAGCCUGGCGGUGGCGCCUCAGCUCAAGAAAAUCCGAGAGAACUUACUUACCCCCGCUAGCNNNNNNNNNNNNNNNNNNNNNNNNNNNNNNNNNNNNNNNNNNNNNNNNNNNNNNNNNNNNNNNNNNNNNNNNNNNNNNNNNNNNNNNNNNNNNNNNNNNNNNNNNNNNNNNNNNNNNNNNNNNNNNNNNNNNNNNNNNNNNNNNNNNNNNNNNNNNNNNNNNNNNNNNNNNNNNNNNNNNNNNNNNNNNNNNNNNNNNNNNNNNNNNNNNNNNNNNNNNNNNNNNNNNNNNNNNNNNNNNNNNNNNNNNNNNNNNNNNNNNNNNNNNNNNNNNNNNNNNNNNNNNNNNNNNNNNNNNNNNNNNNNNNNNNNNNNNNNNNNNNNNNNNNNNNNNNNNNNNNNNNNNNNNNNNNNNNNNNNNNNNNNNNNNNNNNNNNNNNNNNNNNNNNNNNNNNNNNNNNCGGUCCCCACCCCCCGCUGUCCUUCCGCUCGCGCUCGUCAUGGCGGACGGCCCCGCGAGCCCUGCGUCGGUGUCCUCCAGGCUUCAGCCCAUCAUCUCCGGGCUCGGUCUGUCAGGCUCGUCGGGAUCUGAGGGCGGUUCGACUGGAGCUGGAGGUGCGCCGGCUGGUGCAAAUCCUGGACCGGCUGCGGGAUCUGCCGUUCCUUGGCGCAGGCCCGGUCCUUCGCGCAAGGCGCUAUGGCGCAAGAGGAAAUCUUUCCAGAAUAUGAAGAUGGCGGCGGCGGGUGGAUCCAGGUCGCGCUCCCCUGCCUCGUCGCCGGAGAGGAGGGAGAUCUCGGCUGACCUGUUCGGCCUCUGUUUCAAGUGCUUUCGAGAUGGACACAGAAGAGACGACUGCAGUUUCCCCCCCACUCUGCAUCCGGUGCAGACUGGAGGGCCACAUCUCCACGGAGUGCAAGCGGCCGAGAAGCCCAAGGUCGGAGGAAGAGCACCGGCGAGACGCCAUUGCCAAGGUUGUGCGGUCUUCGCAGCUGCCGACACAGGCCGGACUUGCACACAGGCUGACGCUGGCGACUAGGCAGACCUCUCCACUGGAGAGGACCUCGCCAGUGCCAGUGGUCACCGCACCUAUGGUGUUCGUGCAGGCUUCGGCUGCAGCCGUGGGUACUGGUGGUGUUUGCGUGCUUCGCCGGACGCAGGAGAUUGACGAUCUGGAGCAGUGACUUAGGCUGGCAGUGGUGGCUUAUGUGGGCGGCACCAGACCGGCGGUGUCGUGCCAGGAGGCGGCCGAGGCAAUUUCCGAGGAGCUGCACAUCCCUCGCCAUCGUUUCUCGGUCCACAAGUUCCAUCCCGAGGACUUCCUUGUGGUGUUCGCCGCGCCAGAGCUUCGUAACAGGGCAUUAGCUGCGGGCACCAUCGAGCAUGGCUUCUUCAAGCUGUUCGUCAAGCCAUGGCUCAAGCAAGCGCAGGCUGUUACCAGGGUGAUGCGCUCGCAAGUUGAUCUUAUGAUCGAGGGAGUUCCUUCCCAUGCAUGGACGACGGAGACUGUGGCUGAGUUACUUGGUUCGGUGUGCUUGAUUGAGAGUAUGGUGCCAGAAACUGAGAACAGAGAAGAUCUCUCCCUCUUCAAGUUGCGAGCUUGGUGCGUCGACCCGGAGGAGGUGCCGAUGGACAAGCGCCUCUGGGUGCCCGAGCCGGAAAUGAAUGUAGGGCCGGGCGCACGAAUGCCUAUGUCCCGGGCAUUGCUGGAGUACAAAACCUUCAUACACAUCGGGAGAAUCCAUGAUCAUGAGGGUCUUGAGCGUUGGUUGAGACCGCCUAGCUCAAAUGGAAGCGGACAAAGUGAAAUGCCGAAGGACUUUGGGGACUACUCUGGCCAGGGCGAAUGGCGUGUGCUGCCAUGGACUAGGGGCGUUCGUGAUCACCGUGGUGGUGCACCGGCUGGUGGCGCCACAGGUCGCUCAUACAGACAGGCCCUUGUUGGGCGCAUUGGGCCAUCGAACUGGCAGAUCCCACCGAUGGCCUCUCGCAUGGCGACGAUGGCAUGCGCGCUCAGUGGCAGUACCAUGGGGACUGUGACGAAUCAGAAUCAGGACGAGGUGGCCGCCGCCGCACGCGCUCCACCAGCGCUGCAGCCGCUGUUGGCCACAGAAGAUCCGGGGAGGAGUUCAGGAGUAAGGCCUGCACAUGCUCAGGUGGUGGCCAAUCCGGCGCAGCUCUCUGUGCUGGGGCAGGAUAAGGUCACUUUUGACCAGGUAGAGAUAAGGAUUGGAGCCAACUAGGAAGCCGAUGUGGGUGCCGACACCUCGGGGCUGGAAAUCGAAGUCGAGAAAGGAAACGAGGACAAAACGAUGGGCGAGGCUUUUUAGAAAGGGAUCUCUUCCGAUCCCGGGCGCAGGCAAAACUCUGGGAGAGGCCAUCAUGGUCGUCGCAUUGGCGGAGCCAAACCUAGCCAAUCACUACACGGGAGAUAGGGCUGAGGAUCUGGCGCGUACGGAUGUGGGUCGCCUCGAGGGGGCCACCACUACCCAAUCUCAGCCGGGAAUAGAAGAGGAGGCCAUGCAGCCAGAUUCCUCGCUGGUGUGUCUGCCCGACAAAACCGCAGAUGGGUGGGCCCCCGUGCCGGAUGUGCUGCAGCUUGCGACAACUGAGGAGAUAGCGCGUUCAGCAAAUGAUACGACUGACCUGGGUCCCGCUCUACAGGAGUCUGAGGCAAACACUGUGGAGGCCGAUGUGACCACGAGAGAUGCAUGCAUGCAAAUGCAGCUGCAUGGCGGAUGCGUUUCGGACGUUGGUGCACCUGUCUCUCAGCAGCAUGAGGGGCACUUAACUGCCAAGGAGAUGGCGGCCCUGGGAAACAUUAAGGCGUUUUGUACCGGACUGCUCAAAAAACUGAAGGAAAUAUGCCCUAGAGGCGAUAAUAAAGUUAUUAUUUAUUUCCUUAUAUCAGGAUAAAUGUUUAUUAUUCAUGCUAGAAUUGUAUUAACCGAAAACAUGAUACAUGUGUGAAUACAUAGACAAACACAGUGUCACUAGUAUGCCUCUACUUGACUAGCUCGUUGAUCAAAGAUGGUUAUCUUUCCUAGCCAUAGACAAAGAGUUGUCAUUUGAUUAACGAGAUCACAUCAUUAGGAGAAUGAUGUGAUUGACUUGACCCAUUCCGUUAGCUUAGCACUUGAUCGUUUAGUUUGUUGCUAUUGCUUUCUUCAUGACUUAUACAUGUUCCUAUGACUAUGAGAUUAUGCAACUCCCGUUUACCGGAGGAACACUCUGUGUGCUACCAAACAUCACAACAUAAUUAGGUGAUUAUAAAGGUGCUCUACAGGUGUCUCCGAAGGUACUUGUUGGGUUGGCGUAUUUCGAGAUUAGGAUUUGUCACUCUGAUUGUCGGAGAGGUAUCUCUAGGCCCACUCGAUAAUACACAUCACUUAAGCCUUGCAAGCAUUGCAACUAAUGAGUUAGUUGCAGGAUGAUGUGUAAAGAGACUUGCCGGUAAUGAGAUUGAACUAGGUAUUGAGAUACUGACGAUCGAAUCUCGGGCAAGUAACAUACCGAUGACAAAAGGAACAACGUAUGUUGUUAUGCGGUUUGACCGAUAAAGAUCUUCAUAGAAUAUGUAGGAGCCAAUAUGAGCAUCCAGGUUCCGCUAUUGGUUAUUGGACGACUAUAUUUGGAUAUCGAAAUAGGAUAUGUUACUUUUGAGCAUCCUGGUUCCGCUAUUGGUUAUUGACCGGUAAAGAUCCUCUUCCUUCCCUCUCCCUCUCCAAAUAGGAUAGGGAGUCCUACUCCCGGUGGGAGUAGGACUCCCCCCUUGGGCACGCCUCCUCCCCUUGGCCGGCCCUCUCCUCCCCUCCUUUAUAUACGGAGGAGAGGGGCACCCCAUAGACACAACAAUUGAUCUCUUGGAUCUUUUAGCCGUGUGCGGUGCCCCUCUCCGCCAUAGUCCACCUCGAUAAUAUCGUAGAGGUGCUUAGGCGAAGCCCUAUGACGGUAGAACAUCAACAUCGUCACCACGCCGUUGUGCUGAUGGAACUCUCCCUCAAAGCUUGGCUGGAUCGGAGUUCGAGGGAUGUCAUCGAGUUGAACGUGUGCAGAACUCGGAGGUGUCGUGCGUUCGGUACUUGAUCGGUCAUAUCGUGAAGACGUACGACUACAUCAACCGUGUUGUGCUAACGUUUCCGCUUUCGGUCUACGAGGGUACGUGGACACACUCUCCCCUCUCGUUGCUAUGCAUCGCCAUGAUCUUGCAUGUGCGUAGGAAAUUUUUUGAAAUUACUACGUUCCCCAACAAAAACUAGCGCCACCGCUGCUCAAAGAGUUUGAAGGGCUACGUGGGGUCAAAACUGGCCAGGACCCGUUCACUCCAAGACGUGCAACCCGGUCCGUGUGUGCCGGCAACACAAGGAAGACGAAGGCCUCGACAGCUGAAACGGUUCUGGUCAAAACCCUAGGUUUUGACUGUGAUGAUCUGGCGGUCUCGGAGGAUGUGCUAGGUCAGUUGCGUACGGUGUUUGACUCACCUCUUCAGGAGCCGUAGUUGAGGGCCAUCGCAGCUAUAUUCGGGAAGGCGAUGCCGCUCAAUCUUGCGGAGGAGACAGGGAUGGCUGAGCCGGUCUUGGUGCAGUAGGCGUGAUCGCACGGGCGACUUUGGAGGCAUAUUUCUGAUGUCUCUCAACGCCCUAGAGCUGGUGUGCUGGAACGUUCGAGGUCUCAACAAUCUGGCCAAAAGGAAGGCGCUCAGAGGAUUUUUAGAAUCUGUCGUGCGGCGAUUGUUUGUAUCUUGGAAACUAAAUUAGAGGUGGUGGACACUUUUGUAAUCUUGCAAUGCAUGGGGCUGAAUUAUGAUGGUUUCACUUAUUUGCCAGCGUCAGACACUAGAGGUGGUAUCUUUGUGGCUUGGGAAACCACACGGGUACGCUUGACAAAUUUUGUCAACGAUUCCCAUAGCAUUACUGGAUACGUUUCGCCCAUGGAGGGAGUGUCGUGGUGGCUAAUAGUAGUAUACGAGCCGCAGGAGGAUGAACACAAGAUCAAUUUCUUGAACGAGCUUACGGAGCGUAGAUCGCUAAGCCCAGGGCCUUGGCUUGUUAUGGGAGACUUCAACCUUAUCCUAUAUGCGGCAGACAAAAGUAACUCCAACCUGGACAGGAGAAUGAUGGGGAAGUUCAAGCGUUUUGUUGAUGAUAACGUGUUGAAGGAGCUCUUUUUGCAUGGACGCAAGUACAUGUGGAGCAAUGAACGGGAGACGCCCACACUCACUAAAAUAGACCGCGCUUUUGUCUCCGUCGAUUGGGAGCUUGAACAUCCGGAUUGUUUGCUGCAAGCGCUAUCUACUGAGUACUCCGAUCACUGCCCGCUCCACCUCGCGCUCCAUGAGCGCAUGCAUGUCAUGAGGAGGUUUCGUUUCGAGAAAUUUUGGGUCAAGAUGGACGGGUUCUUGGAUGUUGUCAAGGAGGCUUGGGUCUGCGACCCGGACAUAACUGACCCUUUCAUGCGACUUGACAUCAUGCUUCGAAAUACAGCCCGAGCACUUGCAACUUGGGGACAAAAGGAGAUAGGAAAUAUAAAGCUGCAAAUUGCAAUUGCCAACAUAGUCAUCUUGCGGUUCGACUGUGCUCAGGAGAGUCGAGUAUUAACGGAGGAGGAUAGAUGGCUUAGAAGAACUCUUAAGCAACUAGUUUUGGGGCUGGCUUCUCUAGAGAGGACCAUUGCUAGACAGAGAUCGAGGGUCACUUGGCUGCGAGAAGGAGAUGCUAACACGCAAUUGUUCCACUUGGUUGCAAAUGGGAGAUGAAUGAAAAACUACAUACCCUCCCUGACCGUGGACGAGCACAUCAUCACAGAUCAGGUAGGCAAGGAGGAAGCUUUCUACAAGGCAUACAAAGAGCUACUUGGCAAAGACUGUGCCCGAGAUUUCACGCUCGAUUUGGAAGAACUGGGCGUCACGAGUAUUGAUCUUUUGGAGCAAGACUGUGUAUUCUCUGAAGAAGAGAUUUGGGGUGCAAUCAAGGAUUUGCCUUCGGAUAAGGCGCCUAGGCCGGACGGUUCAUUGGCCUUUUCUUUCAAAAGGCUUGGGAGAUCAUCAAGGAUGAUAUUGUGGCGGCAGUUCAUAAACUUUUCCUCGGCAAUAGGAGGGGAUUCGGAAGGCUCAACCAAGCAUUGAUCACACUUAUUCCUAAAUCCCCGGAAGCAUGUGCAGUGUUUGACUUCUGGCCUAUAUGCCUUGUGCACAGUAUGCCCAAGAUUGCAUCCAAACUGUUGACCGCCAGGCUAAGGCCACGCAUGGGAGAGCUAGUUCAGACAAAUCAGUCUGCUUUCAUCAAGGGCAAAUGCUUACACGACAACUUCCUCUUGGUCCGGCAAAUGGCGCGUUCGAUGCAUAGGAGGAAAGCCAAGGGUGUGUUACUCAAGCUAGACAUAUCUAAAGCCUUCGACUCCCUGGCGUGGUCGUUUCUGUUUGAGGUGUUAAGGGCUAAGGGCUUCUCGGAGCGUUGGAUUUCUUGGAUCGUGAUCCUACUUACUACUGCCAGCUCGAGAGUUUUGGUGAACGGCUGCGCGGGUGACAAAUUCAUGCAUGCAAAAGGGCUUCGACAAGGGGACUCCAGAUCACCCUUGUUGUUUGUUAUUGCCAUGGACAUUCUUACGGCAAUCAUCAGCAAGGCACAUGAGGACAGAGUGUUUAGUACCAUCAAUGGAUGUAGCCCUAUGCAGCGCUUGUCCCUGUACGCGGAUGAUGUGGUUCUAUUCAUAAAGCCAACUUGGUCAGAUCUCAUGUUCGUCAAGGAAAUUCUCAUCAUCUUCGGCGUGGCAUCAGGACUCAAAGUAAACUAUGCCAAAUCAGCGGCAAUCAUGAUUAGAGCGGAGAGUGAGGAUGAGGAGCUUGUCAAGUCUGCACUACCAUGGAAGAUUGGCACAUUUCCGUGCAAAUAUCUAGGGCUCCAACUAAUCAUAAAACAGUUAAAAAGAUCUGAGUGGCAACCCAUUGUUGAUAUAGCCCUACACAUUUUGCCAAGAUGGCAAAGGGGCAUGGUGACGAGGCCUGGGAGGCUCAUACUUGUCAACCAAGUUAUGAGGGCGUGAGCUACACAUCACCUCAUGAUCGCAGAGGCUCCGAAAUGGGCCAUGGAAAGAGUGGAUAAAGGGUGAGCCUUCUUCUGGGCUGGGAUGGAGGCGGUGAAUGGGGGCAAAUGUGUUGUAUCAUGGACUAGGGUAUGCAGGCCGAAGCACAUGGGAGGGCUUGGAGUCAUUGACCUGACUAAAUACGGCAUCGAAUUAAGAUUGAGAUGUUAAUGGCUCCGACACACAGACGAGACUAGGCCUUGGCAAGGCCUCAACUUGACCGCGGACAAAAAAGUUGACCAAUCAUUUGGGAGCCUAGUCAAAUGGAAGGUUGGAUCGGGAGGCAAAACCUUGUUCUGGAAGGACCGGUGGAUACAUGGUGCAACAAUCAAAGAGAUUGCUCCAUUGGUGGCAGCAAAGGUGCGGACACAAGUAGCAAACCGAAGGCUUGUGCGGUAUGCGAUGUACAUGCAUACAUGGAUGGACGAUCUAGUAGGAAGCCUAUGUACUGAGGGUCUUACCCAGUUCAUCGGACUUUAGGAGAUUCUCAUGGAGGUCCAGCUGGAUGAUCAGGUGGAGGACUGUCCCAUCUAGGCUUGGAAUGCAACGGGUGUAUAUACGACGUCUUCAGCAUAUAAGAUGUUGUGUGAGGGAGGAACUAAAUUCCACUCCUUCAGGGCCAUAUGGAAGUGUUGGGCACCUCUUGCGUGCAAGAUUUUCAUGUGGCUCGCCGUGUAAUAUAGACUGUGGACAUCGGACAGGAUAACCAGGCAUGGUUUGCAAGACCAAACAUCUAUCUAACUGCUACUUGUGCGACCAAGAGGAGGACACGGUCAAUCAUAUAUUGCUGCAGUGUGUUUUCUCGCGGCAAGUUUGGGUCCGUUGCAUCGACAGGAUGGGUUUGAUGGCGGAUCUCUGCCCAUCUUACGACUCUAGUUUGGUGCAAUGGUGAACGGAUGGUAGAAAACAGAUAUAUAAGCACUCCAGGAAAGGUUUCGACACUUUCGUGAUGCUAAUCUGUUGGACGUUAUGGAAGCAAAGGAACGCAAGGGUUUUCGGCAUUGGAAUGAUCAAGAACGAGUGGGAUACGGUGGACAUGAUCUUGGAUGAUCUUAGGACCUCGGCCCUGGUAGGAGCGUUUGGAGGACAACCAGUUGUAGAGUAGUCGAGUAGACCUAGUGUAACACCCCGGAUGUAACUUACCAUAUUUGUACUCUGACUCUUGCCAUUUUCGGCUCUAACUUAUGAGAUUCGUGGUUGGGUUCUUGUCUUUGUUUUUGCAUUUUGUCCAUGUCAUGCAUUUCAUAUCAUGCCAUCAUGUGCAUCUCAUUUGCAUACGUGUUCGUCUCAUGCAUCCGAGCAUUUUCCCCGUUGUUCGUUUUGCGAUCCGACACUCCUACGUCCUCCGGCGCCCCCUUUUGUCUCUUUUCAUGCGAGGGUAUUAAACAUUAUCGGAAUGGACCGAGAUUUUCCAAGCGGCCUUGGUACACCACCGAUAGACCGCCUGUCAAGUUUUGUGCCAUUUGGAGUUCGUUUGAUACUCCAACGGUUAACCGGGGAACCGUAAAGGCCUCGUGUGUGUUGCAGCCCAACACCCUCCAAGUGGCCCAAAACCCAUCCAAACCCCCUCCAUCCUCUCGGCCGUUCGAUCGCGAUCGCGUGGCCGAAAACCGCACCUCAUUUGGACUCUCCUAGCUCCCUCUACCUAUAGAUAUGUCCCCCCCCCCGGAUUUUCGCGCAGUCUAACCCUAGCCCCGCUCCCUCUCCGCCGCCGGACGUGUCCGCCGGCGCCAGACACGUCCACCGUUCCGUCGCAGCCAACAGGGGCACGCCACCUGUCCCUGGCCGCCAGGCCCGCUCGGGACCAUCGCCGGCCCUCNNNNNNNNNNNNNNNNNNNNNNNNNNNNNNNNNNNNNNNNNNNNNNNNNNNNNNNNNNNNNNNNNNNNNNNNNNNNNNNNNNNNNNNNNNNNNNNNNNNNNNNNNNNNNNNNNNNNNNNNNNNNNNNNNNNNNNNNNNNNNNNNNNNNNNNNNNNNNNNNNNNNNNNNNNNNNNNNNNNNNNNNNNNNNNNNNNNNNNNNNNNNNNNNNNNNNNNNNNNNNNNNNNNNNNNNNNNNNNNNNNNNNNNNNNNNNNNNNNNNNNNNNNNNNNNNNNNNNNNNNNNNNNNNNNNNNNNNNNNNNNNNNNNNNNNNNNNNNNCCCUCCCGGCCCGGGCCGCGCGCGCCACCACCUUCCGCGUCGCCCCCGCGCGCCCGAGAGCUCGUCCCCGCCGCCGCCCGGACUCUCGCCGGUCGCCACCGCCCCACUGCGACUCCGGCCACCGGCCGCACCAUCACCGCGCCUGCCCUCGUCUCCGGCAAGCUCCAUCGCCGCCUUCUCCUAGAUCCGCGACCCCCUCCUCUGCUCCGGCCACCGCGAGGAACUCCGAUGAACUCCUUUGGUCAACCUCAAAGUCCGUGCUGAAGCCCCAGAUCCAGAUCUAGAAAACCCUAGGGUUGACUUCGAAAUUCUACUAAGUCAUUUAAUUUUGCAUUCUGAAGCCCUGUUCAUCAUGCCAUAACUUGUUGCAUACUGCUCUGUUUCGUGCGUGUGAUAUAUCAAAAUGUUCAUCAGGAUGUCCUCUUCAUUUUGUUCCAUUGUGCCAUGCUUGUUUGAGUCCAUCUUGAUGCCCAAAUAGUCGAUGCAAGAGUGCUAUAAAAUGUUAGGUGCUGAUUCUUAACCGAUUAUGAGCAUUUGUCAUUUUUGCUACAAUUGAUGUGUGCUGCAUAUGGGCAUGAGCUCUCCACGUGUUUUGGGCUAUGUCAUGCCAUCUUUACAGGGGUGUAUGCCAUGUAUUUUUGUGAUCAAUGUGGUGACUAGCACAUGCAUCCAAAGUAGCUCUCGUGAUAUUACUGAUUUCAGGGACUUAGAAUUUCACUAAGUCAUUUCCCUGUUGUUAUUUUUAUGCCACGUAUUCAUGUUGCUACAGUGAGAUCCAUACUUCUUUUGAGUAUGUUCAGUAAGGAUGAUUUGGACAUAUGGUUGUGCUCUACCCAUCCAUGUCCCUGUUUGCAAUUAUGGAGUUCCCUAGCAUGACUCGGUCUUGCUCUACUUUUGCUAUAAAAUGUUUCUGGCAGAUUGUUUACGUGUUAAUCAAUUUUGCCAAGGUUGAUGUAGUUGAUCCAUGCAUGCUAUGAGUUUGUUCUUGCUUUGGUUAGCUUCAUGAACAUGUCUUCUAGCUGUUAGUAUGCUUAGCUUGUCAUGCAAUGCCUUGUGUUGAGUGAAUCAAGCUCGCAAAGUGGCCUUUGUAACUCUGUUUUUGUCAUGUCCAGUUUUCUGCUAAGUCUGAAUCUGUUAACGAAACUUGCUAUGUUUACAUGGGUACCAUCAUAUUUUCUGUGCCUUUUUGGCUUAUGGUCAGUAAGGUACUUUUGUUAUAUGCUUGGAGUAGAUUCAUGCCAUGCCUUGUAUUGCUAUGUUCUGUUCCUUUAGCAUGUCGUUAUCUUGCUCUAAACAUUGCUUCCUGAUGUUAAUUCCUGGCAUGUUAUUUCCACUAAGUCUGUGAUGCUGAUAUCUUUUGCACUUUUCCCAUGCUUGUUUGAACCUGAUCUUGUGUGAUUUAGCCGUAGCUCAGUGUUCAUAUUUUGUCAAGCAUCUUGAGUAGAUCACUGUCAUGUGAUUUGUUGCUAUGUUGGAGUGCAGUAGCUUAGUUUCUUGUUGCAUUCUAGAUGGCAUCAUGUUGUUAAUCGCAUAAUUGUGCCAUUCUUGUUUUGCUUGCCAUUUGCAAACCGUGCAUCCGUUUCUGGCGAUCUUUAUAUCGAUUUAAACCGAAAUCAACUUAUCUUUCCAGCGGCACUCUUGGUUUGCCAAGUUGAGGCUUGGUUCAAUCUUUUCCUUCCGGAGCAUGCAUAUGCAUUGCAUAUCACAUCCCGCAUAUCAUGCCAUAUUUUGCAUCAUGUUGCUUGCGCAUUCCAUCGUGAUUGAUUGUUGGUCAUUUUCUUGUGUUCUUGCUUUGGGUAGAGCCAAGAGACAAGUACGUGAUCGAGGAACCCGUUGAGUAUGCUUACGAGGAUCAAGCUUACGUCAACUCAGAGAACUUUGCAGGCAAGAUGACCAUACCCUCGAAAUCACUUCUAUCUUUGCUUGCUAGUUGCUUGCUCUAUUGCUAUGCCGUGAUACCUACCACAUGAUUUAUCAUGCCUCCCAUAUUUCCAUGUCAAACCUCUAACCCACCUUUCUUAGCAAACCAUUGUUUGGCUAUGUUACCGCUUUGCUCAGCCCCUCUUAUAGCGUUGAUAGUUGCAGGUGAAGAUGGAGUUUUUUCCUUGUUGGAACAUGAUUAUUGUUGGGAUAUCAUUAUUAUAUCUUGUUUACUUUAAUGCACCUAUAUACUUGGUAAAGGAUGGAAGGCCCGGCCUUAUGCCUGGUGUUUUGUUCCACUCUUGCCGUCCUAGUUUCCGUCAUACCGGUGUUAUGUGAUGUCUACUACACAACCUUCUUCUUGUAGACGUUGUUGGGCCUCCAAGUGCAGAGGUUUGUAGGACAGUAGCAAAUUUCCCUCAAGUGGAUGACCUAAGGCUUAUCAAUCUGUAGGAGGCGUAGGAUGAAGAUGGUCUCUCUUAAGCAACCCUGAAACCAAAUAUAUAAAAACAGCAAGGUAACUAAUGAUAAAAGUGAGCGUAAACAGUAUUGCAAUGCGUGGACAUAAGGCCUAGGGUUCAUACUUUCGCUAGUGUAAGUCCCCUCAACAAUAAUAUCAUAAUUGGAUCACAUAACUAUCCCUCAACAUGCAACAAAGAGUCACGCCAAAGUCACUAAUAGCGGAGAACAAACGAAGAGAUUAUGGUAGGGUAGGAAACCACCUCAAAGUUAUUCUUUCCAAUCAAUCCGUUGGGCUAUUCCUAUAAGUGUCACAAACAGCCCUAGAGUUCGUACUAGAAUAACACCUUAAGACACACAUCAACCAAAACCCUAAUGUCACCUAGAUACUCCAAUGUCACCUCAAGUAUCCGUGGGUAUGAUUAUACGAUAUGCAUCACACAAUCUCAGAUUCAUCUAUUCAACCAACACAAAGGACCUCAAAGAGUACCCCAAAAUUCUACCGGAGAAUCACGACGAAAACGUGUGCCAACCCCUAUGCAUAGGUUCAUGGGCGGAACCCGCAAGUUGAUCACCAAAACAUACAUCAAGUGAAUCACGUGGUAUCCCAUUGUCACCACAGAUAUCCACGGCAAGACAUACAUCAAGUGUUCUCAAAUCUUUAAAGACUCAAUCCGAUAAGAUUACUUCAAGGAGAAAACUCAAUUCAUUACAAGAGAGUAUAGGGGGGAAGAAACAUCACAGGAUCCAAAUAUAAUAGCAAAGCUCGUGAUACAUCAAGAUCGUAUCACCUCAAGAACACGAGAGAGAGAGAGAGAGAGAUCAAACACAUAGCUACUGGUACAUACCCUCAGCCCCGAGGGAGAACUACUCCCUCCUCGUCAUGGAGAGCACCGGGAUGAUGAAGAUGGCCACCGGAGAGAGAUUGCCCCCUCUGGCGGGGUGUCGGAACGGGUCUAGAUUGGCUUUCGGUGUCUACGGAGGCUUCUGGCGGCGGAACUCCCGAUCUAUCGUGCUCACCGAUGUUUUUAGGGUAUAUGGAGAUAUAUAGGCGGAAGAAGUACGUCAGGGGGGGGCCACGAGGGUGGAGGGCGCGCCCAUGGGGUGGGCGCGCCCCCUGCCUCGUGACCUCCUCGCAGAUCCCCCGACGUGCACUCCAAGUCUUCUGGGCUUCUUUUCUUCCAAAAAUGAGUUCCGUGAAGUUUCAGGUCAAUUGGACUCCAUUUGGUUUUCCUUUUCUUCGAAACCCUAAAACAGGGUAAAAACAGAAACUGGCACUAGGCUCUGGGUUAAUAGGUUAGUCCCAAAAUGAUAUAAAAGUGUAUAAUAAAGCCCAUAAACAUUCAAAACAGUAAAUAAUAUAGCAUGGAGCAAUCAAAAAUUAUAGAUACGUUGGAGACGUAUCAGCAUCCCCAAGCUUAAUUCUUGCUCGUCCUCGAGUAGGUAAAUGUUAAAAACAGAAUUUUUGAUGCGGAGUGCUACUUGGCAUAAUUUCAAUGUAGUUCUUCUUAAUUGUGGUAUGAAUAUUCAGAUCUGAAAGAUUCAAGACAAAAGUUCAUAUUGACAUAAAAAUGAUAAUACUUCAAGCAUACUAACUAAGCAAUUAUGUCUUCUCAAAAUAACAUGGCCAAAGAAAGUCCAUCCCUGCAAAAUCAUAUAGUUUAGUCAUGCUCCAUUUUCUUCACACAAGAAUGCUCUCAUCAUGCACAACCCCGAUGAAAAGCCAAGCAAUUGUUUCAUACUUUAGUAAUCUCAAACCUAUAAACUUUCACGCAAUACAUGAGCGCGAGCCAUGGAUAUAGCACUAUGGGUGGAAUAGAAUAUAAUGAGGGGGGUUAUGUGGAGAAGACAAAAAGGAGAAAGUCUCACAUCAACGAGGCUAAUCAAUGGGCUAUGGAGAUGCCCACCGAUUGAUGUUAAUGCAAGGAGUAGGGAUUGCCAUGCAAUGGAUGCACUAGAGCUAUAAAUGUAUGAAAGCUCAACAAAAAGAAACUAGUGGGUGUGCAUCCAACUUGCUUGCUCAAGAAGACCUAGGGCACUUGAGGAGGCCCAUUGUUGGAAUAUACAAGCCAAGUUCUAUAAUGAAAAAUUCCCACUAGUAUAUGAAAGUGAUAACAUGAGAGACUCUCUACUAUGAAGAUCAUGGUGCUACUUUGAAGCACAAGUGUGGUAAAAGGAUAGUAACAUUGUCCCUUCUCUCUUUUUCUCUCAGUUUUUUGGGCCUUUUCUUUUUUUAUGGCCUUUCUCUUUUUUUGGGCCUUCUCUUUUUUUAUGGCCUUUCUCCCUUUUUUUAUUCCUCACUUGGGACAAUUCUCUAAUAAUGAUGAUCAUCACACUUCUAUUUAUUUACAACUCAAUGAUUACAACUCGAUACUAGAACAAAGAUGACUCUAUAUGAAUGCCUCCGGCGGUGUACCGGGAUAUGUAACGAAUCAAGAGUGACAUGUAUGAAAGAAUUAUGAACGGUGGCUUUGCCACAAAUACUAUGUCAACUACAUGAUCAUGCUAAGCAAUAUGACAAUGAUGAAUGUGUCAUGAUGAAUGGAAUGAUGGAAAGUUGCAUGGCAAUAUAUCUCGGAAUGGCUAUGGAAAUGCCAUAAUAGGUAGGUAUGGUGGCUGUUUUGAGGAAUAUAUAAGGAGGUUUAUGUGUGACAGAGCGUAUCAUAUCACGGGGUUUGGAUGCACCGGCGAAGUUUGCACCAACUCUCAAUGUGAGAAAGGGCAAUGCAUGGUACCGAAGAGGCUAGCAAGGAUGGAAGGGUGAGAGUGCAUAUAACCCAUGGACUCAACAUUAGUCAUAAAGAACUCACAUACUUAUUGCAAAAAUCUACAAGUCAUCAAAAAGCUCGGCACUACGCGCAUGCUCCUAGGGGGAUAGACUGGUAGGAAAAGACCAUCGCUCGUCCCCGACCACCACUCAUAAGGAGGACAAUCAAAUAACACCUCAUGUUUCAAAUUUGUUACACAACGUUUACCAUACGUGCAUGCUAUGGGACUUGCAAACUUCAACACAAGCACUUAUCAAAUUCACAACUACUCAACUAGCACGACUUUGAUAUUAUUACCUCCAUAUCUCAAAACAAUCAUCAAGCAUCAAACUUCUCUUAGUAUUCAAUACUCUCAUAAGAAAGUUUUUACUAUUCUGGAAUACCUAGCAUAUUAGGAUUUUAAGCAAAUUACCAUGCUAUUUAAGACUCUCAAAAUAAUCUAAGUGAAGCAUGAGAGUUCAUCUAUUUCUACAAAAUAAAACCACCACCGUGCUCUAAAAGGAUAUAAGUGAAGCACUAGAGCAAAUGACAAACUACUCCGAAAGAUAUAAGUGAAGAUCAAUGAGUAGUUGAAUAAUUAUGCAACUAUGUGAAGACUCUCUAACAUUUAAGAAUUUCAGAUCUUGGUAUUUUAUUCAAACAGCAAGCAAAACUAGAUAAAAUAAAAUGACGCUCCAGGCAAAACACAUAUCAUGUGGUGAAUAAAAAUAUAGCUCCAAGUAAAGUUACCGAUGAACGAAGACGAAAGAGGGGAUGCCUUCUGGGGCAUCCCCAAGCUUAGGCUCUUGGUUGUCCUUGAAUAUUUCCUUGGGGUGCCAUGGGCAUCCCCAAGCUUAGGAUCGUGCCACUCCUUAUUCCAUAGUCCAUCGAAUCCUUACCCAAAACAUGAAAACUUCACAACACAAAACUUAACAGAAAACUCGUAAGCUCCGUUAGUAUAAGAAAGUAAAUCACCACUUCAAGGUACUGUAAUGAAAUUAUUAUUUAUUUAUAUGUGUGUUAAACCUACUGUAUUACAACUUCUCUCUGGUUUAUAAACUCUUUUACUAGCCAUAGAUUCAUCAAAAUAAGUAAAUAACACACAAAAAAUAGAAUCUGUCAAAAACAGAACAGUCUGUAGUAAUCUGGAUCAAACGUAUACUUUUGGAACUCAUAAAAUUCUCAAAUAAAUUUCUGGACGUGAGGAAUUUAUCUAUUAAUCAUCUUCAAAAAUAAUUAACUAAAUAGCACUCUCCAAAUAAAAAUGGCAGCAAUUCUCGUGAGCGCUAAAGUUUCUGUUUUUUACAGCAUGAUCAACAAGACUCUCCCCAAGUCUUCCCAACGGUUCUACUUGGCACAAACACUAAUUAAAAGCAUAAAACCACAUCUAAACAGAUGCUAGAUGAAUUAUUUAUUACUAAACAGGAUCAAAAAUCAAAGAACAAAAAUAAAAUUGGGUUGCCUCCCAACAAGCGCUAUCGUUUAACGCCCCUAGCUAGGCACGAUGAUUUCAAUGAUGCUCACAUAAAGGAUAAGAAUUGUAACAUAAAGAGAGCAUCAUGAAGAAUAUGACUAGCACAUUUAAGUCUAACCCACUUCCUAUGCAUAGGGAUUUUGUGAGCAAACAACUUGUGGGAACAAUAAUCAACUUGCAUAGGAUGGUAAAACAAGCAUAACUUCAAAACUUUAAGCACAUAGAGAGGAAACUUGAUAUUAUUGCCAUUCCUACAAGCAUAAGUUCCUCCCUCAUAAUAAAUUUUCAGUAGCAUCAUGAAUGAAUUCAACAAUAUAACCAGCACCUAAAGAAUUCUUUUCAUGAUCUACAAGCAUAUAAAAUUUACUACUCUCCACAUAAGCAAAAUUCUUCUCAUUCGGAAUAGUGGGAGUAUCAUAAGAGACUUGAAUACAAUAAAUUAUUUCCACAUUAAAAGAGUAAUGUUCAGAGAAGGGGUAAUCAUAAUCAUGACAAGUUUUAUAAAUAUACUCACUACUUUUUAUAGCAUAUGUAUCAUCACAAUAAUUAUCAUACGUAGGAGGCAUGCUAUCAUCAUUAUAAAUUUGCAUAUCAAAACUUGGGAGACUAAAAAUAUCGUCUUCAUUAAGAGUAGCAUCCCCAAGCUUGGGACAAACAUUAAUUGCAGCAAAUAUAUUCUCAAAAACAUCAUUUUCAUCAAACAUAGCAUCCCCAAGCUUCGGCCUUUUCAUAUCAUAAGCAUAAUCACUCUCAUCGUUAAUAGUAUAGAUAGCACCAAUAGUAUAGCAAUUAUCAUAUUCUUCCAAGCAAGUGCCAAAAAGAUUUUCAAGAUCAUAAGAAGUAUCAUUAUCUUCCACAAUUAUAUUUUCAUGAGGCACAAUAGUAAUAGGGGCAGUAUUAUUUGAGAGAGAUAUCUUUUUACCUCUCUUCCUUUUUCUUUUCUUCUUCUUCACCACAUCAUGUGUGGGUUCAAUCCUCUUUUUGGAGCUCCUUAUUAAUGAGAUUGGUUGAAUAGGAGGCUCCUCCUCAUUACCUGAUUCAUCAUAAGAAAUAAUAGGAGGGUAUUGGGAAGUCUCUUCCCUUUCAUUAGUAUUCUCUUCAUCUUCUAUUUGUUUUCUUUUCUUUAUGUAAUUGGCAAUAUAAGGAUUUUCAAUGCAAUUCACCGCACAAUACAUAUAAAUUUCCUCUAGAUCAAAAUGAAGAACUCUAUCAAGAUUAAACUUUGGAAUAUCCUCAGUUAUACGUUUCAUUUCCUCAUAUCCCAAAAGAAGACUAAGCUCUUUAUGAUGCUCAAGGUUAAUCAAAUUAUCACAAUUUUUUGAUACGAUUUGGUCAUGAAACAAUUUGCAUUGGAGAUUUAAAUGACCAUGUUCAUUGCAAAGUUCACAAGGAGCGUGAAAAAUAUUGAAUUUUUCAGCACAAUCAUCAAGACUUUCUUGCAAAAAUUUAGUUUCUAAGUACUUAUGCCUCUUGCAAUAUCUAUCUUCCCUAUUUGGUGUGUACUUACAAGCCCAAUGCACUCCACAAAAAUUGACAUGUUUAUAGGAGACAUUUUCAUCAUAACUAGUGCAAUCAUCACUAGUAUCAUGGAUAUUCAAAGAAUUCGUACUAACAACAUUGCAAUCAUGCUCAUCAUUCAAAUAUUUAGUGCCAAACAUUUUAUAGAUUUCUUCUUCUAGCACUUGAGCACAAUUAUCCUUUCCAUCAUACUCACGAAAGAUAUUAAAAAGGUGAAGCGUAUGAGACAAACUCAAUUCCAUUUUUUUAUAGUUUUCUUUUAUAAACUAAACUAGUGAUAAAACAAGAAACUAAAAUACUUGAUUGCAAGAUCUAAAGAUAUACCUUCAAGCGCUAACCUCCCCGGCAACGGCGCCAGAAAAGAGCUUGAUGUCUACUACACAACCUUCUUCUUGUAGACGUUGUUGGGCCUCCAAGUGCAGAGGUUUGUAGGACAGUAGCAAAUUUCCCUCAAGUGGAUGACCUAAGGUUUAUCAAUCCGUAGGAGGCGUAGGAUGAAGAUGGUCUCUAUCAAGCAACCCUGCAACCAAAUAACAAAGAGUCUCUUGUGUCCCCAACACACCCAAUACAAUGGUAAAUUGUAUAGAUGCACUAGUUCGGCGAAGAGAUGGUGAUACAAGUGGUAUAUGGAUAGUAGAUAAUGGUAUUUGUAAUCUGAAAUUAUAAAAACAGCAAGGUAACUAAUGAUAAAAGUGAGCAUAAACGGUAUUGCAAUGCGUAGAAAUAAGGCCUAGGGUUCAUACUUUCGCCAGUGUAAGUUCCCUCAACAAUAAUAUCAUAAUUGGAUCACAUAACUAUCCCUCAACAUGCAACAAAGAGUCACUCCAAAGUCACUAAUAGCGGAGAACGAACGAAGAGAUUAUGGUAGGGUAUGAAACCACCUCAAAGUUAUUCUUUCCAAUCAACCCGUUGGGCUAUUCCUAUAAGUGUCACAAACAGCCCUAGAGUUCAUACUAGAAUAACACCUUAAUACACACAUCAACCAAAACCCUAAUGUCACCUAGAUACUCCAAUGUCACCUCAAGUAUCCGUGGGUAUGAUUAUACGAUAUGCACAAUCUCAGAUUCAUCUAUUGAACCGACACAAAGGACCUCAAAGAGUACCCCAAAGUUCUACCGGAGAAUCACGACGAAAACAUGUGCCAACCCCUAUGCAUAGGUUCAUGGGCGGAACCCGCAAGUUGAUCACCAAAACAUACAUCAAGUGAAUCACGUGGUAUCCCAUUGUCACCACAGAUAUCCACGGCAAGACAUACAUCAAGUGUUCUCAAAUCUUUAAAGACUCAAUCCAAUAAGAUCACUUCAAGGGGAAAACUCAAUUCAUUACAAAAGAGUAGAGGGGGGAAGAAACAUCAUAGGAUCCAAAUAUAAUAGCAAAGCUCGCGAUACAUCAAGAUCGUAUCACCUCAAGAACACGAGAGAGAGAGAGAGAGAGAGAUCAAACACAUAGCUACUGGUACAUACCCUCAGCCCCGAGGGAGAACUACUCCCUCCUCGUCAUGGAGAGCACCGGGAUGAUGAAGAUGGCCACCGGAGAGAGAUUGCCCCCUCCGGCAGGGUGCCGGAACGGGUCUAGAUUGGCUUUCAGUGGCUACGGAGGCUUCUGGCGGUGGAACUCCCGAUCUAUUGUGCUCGCCGAUGUUUUUAGGUUAUAUGGAGAUAUAUAUGCGGAAGAAGUACGUCAGGGGGCCACGAGGGGCUCACGAGGGUGGAGGGCGCGCCCCCUGCCUUGUGACCUCCUCGCAGAUCCCACGACGUGCACUCCAAGUCUUCUGGGCUUCUUUUCUUCCAAAAAUGAGUUCCGUGAAGUUUCAGGUCAAUUGGACUCCGUUUGGUUUUUCCUUUUCUUCGAAACCCUAAAACAGGGUAAAAAUAGAAACUGGCACUGGGCUCUGGGCUAAUAGGUUAGUCCCAAAAAUGAUAUAAAAGUGUAUAAUAAAGCCCAUAAACAUUCAAAACAGUAAAUAAUAUAGCAUGGAGCAAUCAAAAAUUAUAGAUACGUUGGAGACGUAUCAUUAUGUUCCUUGAUUUUGCGUUCCUUACGCGGUUGGGUUAUAAUGGGAACCCCUUGACAGUUCGCCUUGAAUAAAACUCCUCCAGCAAGUCCCAACCUUGGUUUUACCAUUUGCCACCUAAGCCUUUUUCCCUUGGGUCCAUGGACUCAAGGGUCGUCUUUAUUUUAAACCCUCGGGCCAGUGCUCGUCUGAGUGUUGGUCCAAACUAGAGUCCUUUGCAGCGCCGCCUCGGGGAAACUCGAGGUUUGGUUUUAGUUGUACGGAGUGCUCAUCCGGUGUGCCCUGAGAACGAGAUAUGUGCGACUCCUAUCGGGAUUUGUCAGCACAUCGGGCGGCUUUGUUGGUCUUGUUUUACCAUUGUCGAAAUGUCUUGUAACUGGGAUUCCGAGUCUGAUCAGGUCAUCCUGGGAGAAGGAAUAUCCUUCUUUGACCGUGAGAGCUUGUGAUGGGCUAAGUUGGGACACCCCUGCAGGUUUUUGAACUUUCAAAAGCCGUGCCCAUGGUUAUGGGCAGAUGGGAAUUUGUUGAUAUCCGGUUGUAGAGAACUUGAAACUUCACUUAAUUAAAAUGAAUCAACCGCGUGUGUAGCUGUGAUGGUCUCUUUUCGGCGGAGUCCGAGAAGAGAACACUGUUUCUUGUUAUGCUUGAACGUAAGUAGUUUCAGGAUGACUUCUUGAUCUUUAUAGCUUAUCGACCAUGCUUUGCUUCUCUUCUCGCUCUCAUUUGCAUAAGUUAGCCACCAUAUAUGCUAGUGCUUGUUGCAGCUCCACCUUACUACCUUUUCCUACCCAUAAGCUUAAAUAGUCUUGAUCGAGAGGGUGUGAGACUGCUGAGUCCCCCUUGACUCACAGAUUACUUCCAAAACCAGAUGCAGGUGCCGAAGAUGCCAGUGUAGGGGACACGACCGAACUCAAGUGGGAGUUCGACGAGGAUUCAGGACGUUACUAUGUUUCCUUUCCGGACAAUCAGUAGAGGAGCCUAGUUGGGGCGAUCGGGGAUCUAUUGCAUUAGGGGUUGUCUUUCUUUAUUUGGUUCUGUAGUCGGACCUUUGAUUGUAUUCUGGAUGAUGUAAUGUUAUAUUUAUGUAUUAUGUGAAGUGGUGAUUGUAAGCCAACUCUUUAUCCCUUUCUUAUUCAGUACAUGGGAUGUGUAAAGAUUACCCCUCUUGUGACAUGCCUACUAUGCGGUUAUGCCUCUAAGUUGUUCUCCGACACGUCGGAGAUAUAGCCGCAUCAUGGGUGUUACACCUAGGGAGUGGUGUGGAGGGUUGGUUAGGGUCGACAUGUGACACCUAACUAGCAAAUGUGUAAUCUCUUGUACAUAUUUUUCCCCUUCUAUAAAGCUAAGGUACGCCUUUGGCGUACCCUCGAAAAAAAAUCCGAGAGCGCUCUUUCUUUUUUCUUUUUUUUGCGGGCAAAAAAAGAGCGUAUCCAUGGACAAUGAGAGAGAGAGAGAGCAAUCCAAACCAAAAGAUCAAGUUCAUCAUCAGACACAAUUCAUCACUGGGCAGAUUAACUACAUAGUAGUACAAAAUAAACUAGAUAGACGGUGCAGGGCCGGCAGUAGUCAUCGGACCGGUGGUAGUAGUCCUCUGUGUAGGUGUUCCCAGCGGAAGGUGUGUCAUCAUCAUCCGUGCUCAUCGUACCGCUGCCCGAUGAUGACGACGAGAUAUCGAACGACCGGCACCUACUCCAUGAGCCUUGCCGCCUUUGCCUUGGCGGCCUCCUUCUGCAUUGUGAGGCGCUCCGAUUCUUCGAUACCAAGCCGGAGCGCCUUUGCACUCUUGCAGUGGAGGCGCCUCGCAUCCGUUUCCGUUGAGAUCGGCGACCAGCAAAGGAGAUCGCACAUGCUCGUCCGGGUCGACAUGCACGGAUCUCGCUUGUGAGGCAGGAACCGACCUCCGCCACCCCCUGUGUUGGGGAUAUAACUAUCAGUUAUGACCCGCCCAGGAGGGGCCGGGUCAGCCCCAAUGGUGGGUUACACAAGAAGCCCAGUAAACCUUAAAGACAAUAGUUUGUCAAAUCUUAUAGAAGGCCCAAAGGCCUGGAGGCGGCUUAAGGCCCGAUAUUGUGAACCGUCGUAUGUAAGGAAAUACUUGUAAAGAAAGGCAUGUAAAAGAAGUGACCGAGCCGGACACGAUUAUGAGCCGGCUGGGACUCUGUAAACCACCAGGCAUCAACCCGUGUAUAUAAGGGGACGACCCAGUGGAGGCUUAGGGCAAGAAACAAGAGAUCGAUAACCAAGUCGACGAGUUAAGCCUCUUGGUGAUCGAACCCUCAGCAAUACAAACACAACUAGACGUAGGUUUUUACCUUCAUCGUAAGGGGCCGAACUAGUAUAAAACCUCUUGUGUCAUUUGUCCUGAUUAACCCCUUUAAGUUUCCUAGUUGCGAUGGCCCUACGACUAAGUCCUUUCUCUAGGACAUUUGCCGUGACAAUUCCACGACAGUUGGCGCUCACCGUGGGGCCAGCGCACGGUGGAUUUGAGUUCUUGAAGGGCAACUUCGAAGGGCUCAAGGGAUAUGCUGUGGGUCAGAUGACCAAGAGUCGUCACGGCAAGCUCUACAUCGACGACGAAGGCUGGGGCCCCGAGGCCGGCUCGAUUGAGUACGGGUACCGGGUCCCCUUUGGUGGAAUUCACGUCUUCAUCAGCCGGAUCGGCGAGUCAGGCCCUGAGCCGGACGUCCACACCAACCUCAUCGAAACGGCUCAGCGGGCAAGGACCACCCAUGUUCAAUCUGUCGUGAAGCAUGCCUUUGUAGGCUGCGUCCACGGCGGUGAAUACUUUGAAGGAUCAGUGGAGGGCGGUGAGACGGUCGUCUGUUCUGACACUGCAUCAUCAACGGGCGAGACGGACUCUUUGUACCAGCUACAGGAUGGCAUGCUCAGGGGUUGUUCCGAUGGCAGCAGUAUUCCGGACCCCCUUCCGAAUUGGACCGGAGUCUUCAUGGCAGGGACACAGCCUGGGCAGAACUCCACAGCAGCAGUGGCGAUAGCUACCGGGUCGGCCGCAGCCGGGUCAGGAGAUCCCGCGUGCCCCCCGGCUCAGAUUCUAAUGGACCUCACGGAUAAACUGACAACUCUGCUGACUGAUGUGGUAGAGCCGGUGGAUAAAUCCUAGCAUGACGUAGAGGUGGCACGUGUACGUGAAGAGAUGGUGCAAGCUAAGGAAAAUCUGGCCGCAGAGGAAGUUAGGAUGGCAGCGGAACGGGCGGCUCUGGACGUUCGUGCUCAACAGCUUCAAGCAGAGACCUUUCGUCUCUCGGUGGAUUUGAACGCGUCAAACGAGGUCAUGAGGAGAAGGCAUCAGAAAACUCAGUCACGUCUACCUCUGACGCUUAAUCCUAGGAACCUAUUCCAUACACCCGGAGCUGGGGGAAGCAACCCGCCGGAGGCACACCGGAUCACGACACUCGGCGCGCCGGUCCAGUCGCGUGCCAUGGAACCACCUCGUAUCGUUACCGCUCCGCCUCACUAUGUACCAACACCGCCGGGUCACUUCUCCAACCCCUUGGAAAACCUCAUCGCAGCAUCGGCUCGUUUGGCCGCUCUCCCAAUGGAGGGUGACUCACCGGCGGCCGUCGAAACGUGGAGGGUAAGAGAACUUCUUCAAACAGCUCUAGCACAGCAGGAUGCAUACUCCUGCAGUCAAGACAGGAUCCAUUCAACUCCUCGCGCAAGCCGGAGCCCGAGCUGCAGUAGGCAUAUGGAAUCCGCAGACAUGUCAAGCAAUGCUCAAUGCCGCAACCGGCCACACAGGCAUGAGCCGGUGCGGGCCGGAGCCCUUAACUUGGUGGAUCAGGAGAGGAUUCGACAAGAGGCGGAAUGAGCAGUUCAACUGGCAGCAGAUCAGGCGGUUCGUCAAACUUUUCCGGCUUAUCCAGCAACCUCGAUCGAGGCAGGAGUGGCCACAAGAACCGGCGGCGUCCCUUUCUUGGUGCCGGCCAUACGUAAUGAGCGUUUGCCAAAGGACUUUAAGGGGCCUCGUAAGGUGCCUAAUUACACGGCUGACUUACAGCCCGGGGCUUGGAUUGAGAGUUAUGAGAUGGCUAUGGAGUUGUUGGAGGUCAGCGACGCAGCAAUGGCCAAGUAUUUCACUAUGAUGUUGGAUGGGAUAGCUCGUACUAGAUUUAAGGGGUUGUCGCCUAAUUAUAUCGGCUCAUGGGCGGAGUUAAAGGCCCGGUUCAUUCAGAACUUCAAAGACACGUGUAAGCAGACUAUGUCGAUUGUGGACCUAACUAAUUGUAAGCAAGAGGAUAGUGAGUCUACAACCCAUUGGGUGCGCUGGGUCAAGGAGAUAAUACAUUCGUCUGAUAAGAUGGAUGCCGGCUCAGCAGUUUUGAUGUUGGAGAAAAAUUGCUGUUUUGAACCUCUGAAGCAGAAGUUGGGGCGGCUCAAGCGUGACUGUAAUGACAUGGGCCAGUUGAUGGCGGCUCUCAUCAAGUAUGUUGAUUCUGAUAGUACCAAAGACCCGGUGUCUGAUGAAGAAAAGACAGCAAAGGGAAAAAAGAACGGCAACGGCAAGGGUCACCAGAAUAACCCGGCAAAUCAAGGAGGUAAUAAACGUACGGCUGAUGAGUUUGUUGCUAACACCAAUGCACAGGGCGGAAAUCAAUGGCGCAAGGGCAUACAACCCCCUCGGUCGGGCGGGUCAGGUCCCACCCUUGAGCAACUAUUGAAUGAACCUUGUCCAAGGCACGACACCUGGGAGAAGCCAGCCACCCACCUGUGGAAAGAUUGUACGAUCAUGAAGGCGUUUAAAAAUUCAAACGCGUUUGAUGGAGGUCACGGCCCAGGUGGUGGUUCAGGUGGAGGCAGUUUCCAAGGCCCGGGCGCCGGUUCAGGUGGAGGAGGAUUUCACGGUCAGGGCCAUCCUGGUAACCAAGGAGGAUAUAAUACACAACCCGGCCAAGGUAAUCAGCAGCAACAGUCCGGAUAUCAGAGCGACCCAAAACAACUAAAUAGUGGGCAAUACCAUGUAUUCACCACUAGUUUAUGUAAGAGGGACAGAAGCUUCACAAGAGGGUCGUCAAUGCCGUUGAGCCGGCGAUUCCAUGUUACUUACAUUGGUUAGAGCAGCCUAUUGUGUGGAGCAGAGAGGAUCACCCACCUCGGGUCGAUAAUCCGGGUCACUUGGCUUUGGUAGUGGUGCCUCAGGUUGGUGGAUACAAAUUCACUAAGGUACUCAUGGAUGGAGGCAGCAGCAGCAACAUCCUCUACUAUGAGACGUUUCGCCGGAUGGGGUUGACUGAUAAGAGUCUUAAACAAUCCAACACUGAUUUUCACGGUGUGGUUCCUAGCAAGUCAGCGUACCCAGUGGGUAAGAUUGAACUGGAAGUAGCCUUUGGGGAUGUGUAUGAUUCUAGAGCAGAAAAAUUAACCUUUGAGGUGGUGAAGAUCAAAAGCCCAUAUCAUGCUCUGUUUGGACGGCCGGCUUAUCCCAAGUUCAUGGCUCGGUCGUGUUAUGUAUAUUUGCAGCUCAAGAUGCCGGGCUAUAAGGCCACCAUCACAGUACAUGGGAGCCGGAAAAUAGCUUUGAGGUGUGAGGAAGGUGAUGCUGCCUAUGCUGAAUCUAUUUGUGCAACAUAGGAGUUAAAGUUUUACAAGGAUGAUGUUGACCCGGCAGACAUGACGUCAUUAAAGAAACCUACAAUAGAGCAUGAGCCAGUGUUGAAAUUCAAAUCAGCUGAUGACACCAAGAUGGUUGACUUUGUGCCUGGCAACUCAACCAAACAGUUCAUCAUCAGUGCAAACUUGGAUCCAAAAUAGGAAAGCACGCUCAUCAAGUUCAUCCCUGAGAACUGGGACAUCUUUGCAUGGAAACCUUCAGACAUGCCGGUGUCCCGAGGGAAGUAACACCCCGUAUGUAACUUGCCACAUUUGUAUUCCGACUCUUGCCAUUUCCGGCACUAAGUUAUGAUAUUUCCUCAUUGUCGGGUUUUUGUCUUCGUGUUGUUUUGUCUUUGUCAUGCAUCUCAUAUCAUGUCAUCAUGUGCAUCGCAUUUGCAUACGUGUUCGUCUCAUGCAUCCGAGCAUUUUCCCCGUUAUCCGUUUUGCAUUCCGGUGCUCCUAUGUCCUCCGGUGUCCCUUUCUACCUCUUUUCAUGUGCGGGUGUUCAACGUUCUCGGAUUGGACCGAGACUUGCCAAGCGGCCUUCGUUUACUACUGGUAGACCGCUUGUCAAGUUUCGUGCCAUUUGGACUUCGUUUGAUACUCCAACGGUUAACCGACGGACCGAAAAGGCCUCAUGUGUGUUGCAGCCCAACACCUCUCCAAAGUGGCCCAAAACCCACCUAAAACCCCUCCAUCAUCUAGGUCGUUCGAUCACGAUUGUGUGGCCGAAAACCGUGCUCAAUUUGGAGCCUCCUAGCUCCUCCUACCUAUAAAAAGGUCUCUCCCCCGAAAAUUUCGGAUCAUUCCACCCCUAACCCUAGCCCCGCUCCUCAUCCACGCACCGGACAUGUCCGUUUCUCGGCGAACACGCCGCGCCGCCGCCCCGAGCCAGUGAACGAGCGCCACGUGGCACGCCGGCCACCUCCCGUGCCGCGGCCCGCCCGGGCCCGAGAAGGGCCCCCNNNNNNNNNNNNNNNNNNNNNNNNNNNNNNNNNNNNNNNNNNNNNNNNNNNNNNNNNNNNNNNNNNNNNNNNNNNNNNNNNNNNNNNNNNNNNNNNNNNNNNNNNNNNNNNNNNNNNNNNNNNNNNNNNNNNNNNNNNNNNNNNNNNNNNNNNNNNNNNNNNNNNNNNNNNNNNNNNNNNNNNNNNNNNNNNNNNNNNNNNNNNNNNNNNNNNNNNNNNNNNNNNNNNNNNNNNNNNNNNNNNNNNNNNNNNNNNNNNNNNNNNNNNNNNNNNNNNNNNNNNNNNNNNNNNNNNNNNNNNNNNNNNNNNNNNNNNNNNNNNNNNNNNNNNNNNNNNNNNNNNNNNNNNNNNNNNNNNNNNNNNNNNNNNNNNNNNNNNNNNNNNNNNNNNNNNNNNNNNNNNNNNNNNNNNNNNNNNNNNNNNNNNNNNNNNNNNNNNNNNNNNNNNNNNNNNNNUUCGUCGCGCCGCCGACCGCUGCCUCUCGCCUUGCCGCGCCUCCUCCGCCUCCCGCCGCCUCGCCUCUGCUCGCCGCCGUCGCCUGCCAUGGCCAGAGGACCCCGAGGUCGCCUCCCCGUCGAGCUCCGGCGAGCCCCGGCCGAGCUUCUUCCUCUACUCCGGUGCCGACCCCGACGAUCCUCGUUUUCCGCGCUGGCCCGAUCCAGAUCCAGAUUCGGAUUAGGGUUGACUUUUUGCCCUCGUCCCAUUAAUUUUUGCAUAUUUCAUCGCAUCAUAACUCUGCACCUGUGGCUCCGUUUUGGGCGUGUAGCAUGUCAAAUUGUUUGUCUCGAUGAGUACUUCAUUUCAUAUCAUUGCACCAUGUUCAUUUGAGCUCAUCUUGAUGCCCUAAAUGUUGUUGCAAGAGUGCUAGUUUAUAUUAGUUUCAGAUUCUUAUCAGUAAUUGGACAUUUGUCAUUUUUGCCAUGAUUAAUGUGUGCCUCCUAUGAACUUGAGCUCUACAUGUGUUUUGAAGUAUGCCAUGCCAUCUUUACAGGGGUGUAUGCCAUGUAUUUUUGUGAUCUCUGUGGUGACUAGCACAAGCAUGCAAAGUAGCUCUCGUAAUGUUGCUGAUUUCAGGACUUAGAAAUCCUAAGUCAUUUUCCUGAUUAUAUUUUUAUGCCAUGUAUUCAUGUUGCUACAGAGUGAUCCAUGCCUCUUUUGAGCAUGAUCGGUAAGGAUGUUUUGUAGAUAUUGUGGUGCUCUAUCCAUCCAUGUAUUUGUUUGCAAUUAUGGAGCACCCUAGCUUGAGUCAGUCGAGCUCUACUUUUGCUAUAAAAUGUUCCUGGCAGAAUGUUUACGUGUUAAGCAUUUUUGCCGAGGUUGUUGUAGUCGAUCCAUGCAUGCUAUUAUGUUUUUCUUGCCAUGUUUAGCUUCUAUGCCAUGUCUACUUGCUGGGUGUAUGCUUAGUUUAUCAUCAAAUGCCUUGUGGUGAGUGCAUCGAGCUCGUAAACAUGCCUACUUAAUAUCUGUUUUGCCAUGCUCCAGUUUUCUACUAAGUCUGAAUCUGUUAACGAUAAUUGCUAUGUUCACAUGGUUGCCAUUGUAUUUUCUGAUCCCUUUUGGCUUAUGGUCAGUAAGGGACUUUUGUUGUAUGCUUUGAGUAGCUUCAUGCCAUGCCUUGAUUUGCCAUGAUGUGUUCCUGUAGCAUGUAGUUUUCAUGCUCUAAACAUUGCUCUUUUUCCAUGCUUGUUUGAACCUGUUAUUGAGUGAAUUAGCCGUAGCUCAGUGUUCAUCUUUUGUCAAGCAUCUUGAGUGGAUCCCUACCAUGUAUUUUGUUGUUAUGUUAGAGUGCAGUAGCUUGUUGUUCUUGAUGCAUUUAGAUGGUCUCGUGCUGUUAAUCGCAGAUCGGUGCCAUAUUUGUUUUGCUUGUCAUUUGCAAACCGUGCAUCCGAUUCCGGUGAUCUUUAUAUCAAUUUCGACCGAAAUCAACUCCUCUUUCCAGUGGCACUUUUGGAUUUCCAAGUUGAGGCCAGGUUCAAUCUUUCUUUUCCGAAACAUGCAUAUGCAUCGCAUAUCACAUCCCGCAUAUCAUGCCAUGUUUUGCAUCAUCUUGCUUGUGCAUUGCACGUGGUUGAUUGCAUCUCCCUUUGAUUGUUUUGUUGCUUUGGGUAGAUCCAGGAGACGAGUAUGUGAUCGAGGAGCCCGUUGAGUACGUUUACGAGUAUCAAGCUAACGUCAACUCGGAGAACUUUGCAGGCAAGAUGACCAUACCCUCGAAAUCACUUCUAUCUUUGCUUGCUAGAUGCUCGCUCUAUUGCUAUGCCUAUGCUACAAUACCUACCACUUGCUUAUCAUGCCUCCCAUAUUGCCAUGUCAAACCUCUAACCCAUAUUGCCCUAGCAAACCUUUGUUUGGCUAUGUUACCGCUUUGCUCGGCCCCUCUUAUAGUGUUGCUAGUUGCAGGUGAAGAUUGGAGUUUGUUCCUUGUUGGAACAUGUUUACUGAUGGGAUAUCAUUAUUAUAUCUUGUCUAUUUUAAUGCAUCUAUAUACUUGAUAAAGGGUGGAAGGCUCGGCCUUAUGCCUGGUGUUUUGUUCCACUCUUGCCGCCCUAGUUUCCGUCAUACCGGUGUUAUGUUCCUUGAUUUUGCAUUCCUUACACGGUUGGGUUAUAAUGGGAACCCCUUGACAGUUCGCCUUGAAUAAAACUCUUCCAGCAAUGCUCAACAUUGGUUUUACCAUUCACCACCUAGCCUUUUCCCUUGGGUUUCAUGGACUCAAGGGUCAUCUGUAUUUUAAACCCUCGGGCCAGUGCUCCUCUGAGUGUUGGUCCAAACUGAGCUGCCUACGGGGCCACCUCGGGGAAACUUGGGGGUUGGUUUUACUCGGAGCUAGUCUCAUCCGUUGUGCCCUGAGAACGAGAUAUGUGCAGCUCCUAUCGGGAUUUGUCGGCACAUUCGGGUGGCUUUGCUGGUUUAGUUUUACCAUUGUCGAGAUGUCUUGUAACCGGGAUUCCGAGUCUGAUUGGAUUGUCUUGGGAGAAGGAAUAUCCUUCGUUGACCGUGAGAGCUUGUGAUGGGCUAAGUUGGGACACCCCUGCAGGGAUUUGAUCUUUCGAAAGUCGUGCCCGCGGUUAUGGGCAGAUGGGAAUUUGUUAAUGUCCGGUUGUAGAAAACCUCUAACUUAACUUAUUUAAAAUGAAUCAACAAAGUGUGUGGACGUGAUGGUCUCUUUUCGGCGGAGUCCGGGAAGACAACACGGUCUCGAGUUAUGCUUGAACGUAGGUUGUUCUAGGAUCACUUCUUGAUCAUAGUUAAUCGAUCGUGCCUUUGCCUUCUCUUCUCGCUCUCAUUUGUGUAUGUUAGCCACCAUAUAUGCUAGUGCUUGUUGCAGCUCCACCUCAUACCUUUUAUCCUUCCUAUAAGCUUAAUUAGUCUUGAUCACGAGGGUGUGAGAUUGAUGAGUCCCCGUGACUCACAGAUUACUUCCAAAACCAGAUGUAGGGACCGAUGAUACCGCUCCAGGAGAUUCGACUGAGCUCAACUGGGAGUUCAAUGAGGACUCAGGACGAUACUACGUUUCCUUUCUAGACGAUCAGUAGUGGAGCCCAGUUGGGGCGAUCAGGGACUUUGUUGCAUUUUGGUUUGUUCUUUAUUUUGGUUCCGUAGUCGGACCUUGAUUGUAUCUGGAUGAAUGUAAUGUUAUUUAUGCUACUGUGUGACGUGGCGAGUGUAAGCCAACUAUGUACUUUUUUCCCUUAUUCAUUACAUGGUUUGUGUGAAGAUUACCUCACUUGCGACAUUGCUUACAAUGCGGUUAUGCCUCUAAGUUGUGCUUCGACACGUGGGAGAUAUAGCCGCAUCGUGGGCGUUACAAGUUGGUAUCAGAGCCUUCCCCGACUUAGGAGCCCCCUGCUUGAUCGCAUCGUGGGCAUUACAAGUUGGUAUCAGAGCCAGGUUACUGAAGGUCGUAAUGUGUUUGCGAGGAAUUGUUUGACUGUGGCAAACUGAUUCUGAUUGUUGCCAUGGCCUUGAUUCCCUUGGUUGCCCUCUUGCAAGAGUUGCAUGAUCAGUUGCGUGUUUGCAUUGGUAGCGGCCAUCACAGCUGCCAUGCCUCCGGAGGUGGAGGUGGUGGUGGCGGUUCAGGAUUCUGACGCGUUGGAGGAGCCAUCUUGAAGAGGGUGACAUCCGUUAGCAUCUUGACAAACAUAUAUUCAAGUUGAAUCAAAUGGAUCGAAAUUGCAACAUAUAGUCUUAACAUCCAAACAAAAUGAACGAAUGAAUUCCAAUUGAAAUGGUCACACUUCCAUAAAUUGAGAAGGCACUUAGAUAGAGGUAGAAGAUUAAAACAACAAGGUACGGACAAGAACAAAUACUUGGUAAGGAUUACCCAUUCACAAACCAAAUAUCCGUGGAAGAAAUACUAGAGCUACAUGAAUUCCCACCUAUGAAACUCCCGAAAUUUUCCCGAUUAUGCAAUCAGGUGUUGGGGAUACAUGGGAAGCAUAAUAUCUCACCCAAAGCUAGCAAAUCCUACAUCCAGAUGUAUCCAUCCUUCAACACAUAACCAAGAAACCUUCGAAAAUCAUUUACCUCAACCUUCGAAAAGCAUCCGUUAUACAAGUUAUGGCGAUACUCCCAAACUCCCGCCCCAGUACUAGGUGGCGUCCAGGUUAUCUCACCAACAACUGCAUAAAAGAGAUUUUCGAUGUCGGCGAAACUCAUGUAUUCCAGAAUUGCAACAAUAAAGUUGUGACGACAACACCUCAGAGCUCAACUCCCCGGGACACUGCCACAACCCCUAAAUGUCAGGAGGCACCAAGAACAAUGUUCUUGUCACAAAUCCAUCGAAACGAUUCCAAGAUACCCGCGUGAUCCUACAAAAAAUUUAGUGAAAUUUGAGAAGAGAAGAGUCAAAACUCUAUGUCAGGAUGCCUCACCAGAGCGACGAAGGGACUGAGGAGUAAAAAGAAUCCUACUCUCCGAUAUAUAUAAUCCUAAAUGACUCAAAACAUUUUUCUAGACUCAACAACGCCAAUGAUUCAAUCAAGCACAACUUUUCAUCCUCAAACUAGUGGCCAAGUCGAGCGAGUCAAUCAAAUUCUUGAAGAUAUGCUCAGGGCUUGUGUCAUCUCUUUCAGUAUGAAGUGGGAAGAUUGUCUUCCAUAUGCCGAGUUCUCCUACAACAACAGCUUCCAAGCGAGUUCAGGCAAGGCCCCAUUCGAGAUUCUCUAUGGCAGGAAGCGUCAUACUCCUCUUAUCUGGUCAAAGACUGGUGAACGCCAACUUCUUGGAAAUGACUUGAUCAUAGAGGCUGAAGAAAUGUGCAAAGUCAUUCGUGAAAAUCUCAAAGCCGCGCAAUCGCGCCAGAAGAGUUACUAUGAUAGCAAGCAUCAUGACAUGGCUUUCGAGAUCGGAGAUCAUGUCUACCUCCGCGUCUCUCCUAUGAAAGGUACUCGUCGCUUCGUUAUCAAAGGGAAGCUUGCCCCUAGAUACAUGGGUCCUUUCAAGAUCAUCAGCAAAAGAGGCGAUCUCGCCUAUCAAUUUGAGCUUCCAUCCAACUUUGCAAACAUGCACGACGUGUUUCACGUGUCUCAACUCCGCAAGUGUUUCAAGACUCCUGACCGCACCAUCAACUUUGAAGAGAUUGAUCUCCAAGAAGACCCGUCUUAUCGUGAGCACCCCGUUGUUAUUCUUGAAGAAACCGAGUGCAAGACUCGCAACAAGUCUAUCAAAUUCCUGAAAGUCAAGUGGUCACAUCAUUCCGACCGUGAAGCCACCUAGGAAUGCGAGGACCACCUCCGUUCCGAUUACCCAAAGUUUUUCCAGUCCUAGAUCUCGGGACGAGGUCCUUUCGUAGUGGUGGAGUGUUGUAACACCCUUAUGUAACUUGCCAUAUUUGUAUUCCAACUCUUGCCAUUUCCGGCACUAAGUUAUGAUAUUUCCUCGUUGUCAGGUUUUUGUCUUCGUGUUGUUUUGUCUUUGUCAUGCAUCUCAUAUCAUGUCAUCAUGUGCAUCGCAUUUGCAUACGUGUUCGUCUCAUGCAUCUGAGAAUUUUCCCCGUUGUCCGUUUUGCAUUCCGGCGCUCCUAUGUCCUCUGGUGUCCCUUUCUAUGUCUUUUCAUGUGCGGGUGUUAAACAUUAUCGGAUUGGACCGAGACUUGCCAAGCGGCCUUGGUUUACUACCGGUAGACCGCCUGUCAAGUUUCGUGCCAUUUGGACUUCGUUUGAUACUCCUGAAGGAAAUAUGCCCUAGAGGCAAUAAUAAAGUUAUUAUUUAUUUCCUUAUAUCAUGAUAAAUGUUUAUUAUUCAUGCUACAAUUGCAUUAACUAGAAACAUAAUACAUGUGUGAAUACAUAGACAAACAGAGUGUCACUAGUAUGCCUCUACUUGACUAGCUCGUUGAUCAAAGAUGGUUAUGUUUCCUAACCAUAGACAUGAGUUGUCAUUUGAUUAACGGGAUCACAUCAUUAGGAGAAUGAUGUGAUUUACUUGACCCAUUCCGUUAGCUUAGCACUUGAUCGUUUAGUUUGUUUCUAUUGCUUUCUUCAUGACUUAUACAUGUUCCUAUGACUAUGAGAUUAUGCAACUCUCGUUUACCGGAGGAACACUUUGUGUGCUACCAAACGUCACAACGUAACUGUGUGAUUAUAAAGGUGCUCUACAGGUGUCUCCGAAGGUACUUGUUGGGUUGGCGUAUUUCGAGAUUAGGAUUUGUCACUCCGAUUGUCGUAGAGGUAUCUCUGGGCCCUCUCGGUAAUGCACAUCACUUAAGCCUUGCAAGCAUUGCAACUAAUGAGUUAGUUGCGGGAUGAUGUGUUACGGAACAUGUAAAGAGACUUGCCGGUAACGAGAUUGAACUAGGUAUUGAGAUACCGACGAUCGAAUCUCGGGCAAGUAACAUACCGAUGACAAAGGGAACAACGUAUGUUGUUAUGCGGUUUGACCGAUAAAGAUCUUCGUAGAAUAUGUAGGAGCCAAUAUGAGCAUUCAGGUUCCGCUAUUGGUUAUUUACCAGAGACGUGUCUCGGUCAUGUCUACAUAGUUCUCGAACCCGUAGGGUCCGCAUGCUUAACGCUACGAUGACAGUUAUAUUAUAAGUUUAUACGUUUUGAUGUACCGAAGGAGUUCGGAGUCCCGGAUGAGAUCGGGGACAUGACGAGGAGUCUCGAAAUGGUCGAGACAUAAAGAUCGAUAUAUUGGACGACUAUAUUCGGACUUCGGAAAGGUUCCGAGUGAUUCGGGUAUUUUCGGGAGUACCGGGGAGUUACGGGAAUUCGUAUUGGGCCUUAAUGGGCCAUACGGGAAAGGAGAGAAAGGCCUCAAAGGGUGGCCGCACCCCUCCCCAUGGGCUGGUCCAAUUGGACUAGGGAGGGGGGCCCUUCCUUCCUUCUCCUUUUCCCUUCCUUUUCCUUCCCUCCUACUCCUACUACUUGCAAGGGCUCCUAGUUCUACUAGGAAAGGGGGAAUCCUACUCCCGGUGGGAGUAGGACUCCCCUAGGGCGCGCCAUAGAGAGGGCCGGCCCUCCCCCUCCUCCACUCCUUUAUAUACGGGGGCAGGGGCACCCCAUAGACACAACAAUUGAUCUCCUGAUCUUUUAGCCGUGUGCGGUGCCCCCCUCCACCAUAAUCCACCUUGGUCAUAUCGUAGCGGUGCUUAGGCGAAGCCCUGUGUCGGAAGAACAUCAUCAUCGUCACCACGCCGUUGUGUUGACGAAACUCUCCCUCAACACUCGGCUGGAUCGGAGUUCGAGGGAUGUCAUCGAGUUGAACGUGUGCAGAACUCGGAGGUGCCGUGCGUUCGGUACUUGAUCGGUCGGAUCAUGAAGACGUACGACUACAUCAACCGCGUUGUGCUAACGCUUCCACUUUCGGUCUACGAGGGUACGUAGACAACACUCUCCCCUCUCGUUGCUAUGCAUCACCAUGAUCUUGCGUGUGCGUAGGAAUUUUUUUGAAAUUACUACGUUCCCCAACAGUGGUAUCAGAGCCUAGGUUUUAUGCGUUGAUGUAAUAUGCCCGAGUAGAACACAAGUGAGUUGUGGGCGAUAUAAUUCAUACUACUUACCAGCAUGUCACACUUUGGUUCGACGGUAUUGUUGGAUGAAGCGGCCCGGACCGACAUUACGCGUACGCUUACGCGAGACUGGUUCUACCGACGUUCUUUGCACACAGGUGGCUGGCGGGUGUCAGUUUCUCCAACUUUAGUUGAACCGAGUGUGGCUACGCCCGGUCCUUGCGAAGGUUAAAACAUCACCAACUUGACAAACUAUCGUUGUGGUUUUGAUGCGUAGGUAAGAACGGUUCUUGCUCAGCCCGUAGCAGCCACGUAAAACUUGCAACAACAAAGUAGAGGACAUCUAACUUGUUUUUGCAGGGCAUGUUGUGAUGUGAUAUGGUCAAGACGUGAUGAGAUAUAAGUUGUUGUAUGAGAUGAUCAUGUUUUUUUGAAGUUAUCGGCAACUGGCAAAGCCUUAUGGUUAUCUCUCUAUUGCAUAAGAUGCAAGCGCCAAAUGAUUGAUUUACUUUAUCGCUAUACGAUAGCAAUAGUUGCAAGAGUAAUUGUUGGCGAGACAACCAUGUGGCGACACAUUGAUAUAGAUCAAGAUGAUGGAGAUCAUGGUGUCAUGCCGGUGACGAUGGAGAUCAUGACGAUGCUUUGGAGAUGGAGAUCAAAGGCACAAGAUGAUGAUGGCCAUAUCAUGUCACAUAUUAUGAUUGCAUGUGAUGUUUAUCUUUUAUACAUCUUAUUUUGCUUAGUUUGGCGGUAGCUUUAUAAGAUAAUCUCUCACUUAAUUACCAAGGUACAAGUGUUCUCCCUGAGUAUGCACCGUUGCGAAAGUUCUUCGUGCUGACACACCACGUGAUGAUCGGGUUUGAUAGGCUCUACGUUCAAAUACAACGGGUGCAAAACAGUUGCACACACGGAAUACUCAGGUUAAACUUGACGAGCCUAGCAUAUAACAGAUAUGGCCUGGAACACGGAGACCGAAAGGUCGAGCGUGAAUCAUAUAAUAGAUAUGAUCAACAUAGUGAUGUUCACCAUUGAAACUACUCCAUCUCAUGUGAUGAUCGGACAUGGUUUAGUUGAUUUGGAUCACGUGAUCACUUAGAGGAUUAGAGGGAUGUCUAUCUAAGUGGGAGUUCUUAAGUAAUAUGAUUAAUUGAACUUAAAUUUAUCAUGAACUUAGUCAUGGUAGUAUUAGCAUAUCUAUGUUGUAGAUCAAUAGCUCGCGUUUAGCUCCCCUGUUUUAUUUUUGAUAUGUUCCUAGAGAAAACUAAGUUGAAAGAUGUUAGUAGCAAUGAUGCGGAUUGGAUCCAUGAUCUGAGGUUUAUCCUCAUUGCUGCACAGAAGAAUUAUGUCCUUGAUGCACCACUAGGUGACAGACCUAUUGCAGGAGCUGAUACAGACGUUAUGAACGUUUGGCUAGCUCAAUAUGAUGACUACUUGAUAGUUUAGUGCACCAUGCUUAACAGCUUAGAAUCGGGACUUCAAAGACGUUUUGAACGUCAUGGACCAUAUGAGAUUUUCUAGGAGUUGAAGUUAAUAUUUCAAGUAAAAUACCCGAGUUGAGAGAUAUGAAGUCUCCAACAAGUUCUAUAGCUAAAAGAUGGAGGAGAAUAGCUCAAGCAGUGAGCAUGUGCUCAGAUUGUCUGGGUACUACAAUCGCUUGAAUCAAGUGGGAGUUAAUCUUCCAGAUAAAAUAGUGAUUGAUAGAAUUCUCUAGUCACCAUCACCAAGUUAGUAGAACUUCGUGAUGAACUAUAGUAUGCAAGGGAUGACGAAAACAAUUCCCGAGCUUUUCAUGAUGAUGAAAUCGACGAAGGUAGAAAUCAAGAAAAGCAUCAAGUGUUGAUGGUUAACAAGAUCACUGGUUUCAAGAAAAGGGCAAAGGGAAAGAAAGGGAACUUCAAGAAGAACGGCAAGCAAGUUGCUGCUCAAGUGAAGAAGCCCAAGUCUGGACCUAAGCCUGAGACUAAGUGCUUCCACUGCAAAGGGACUGGUCACUAGAAGUGGAACUACCCCAAGUAAUUGGCGGAUAAGAAGGAUGGAAAAGUGAACAUAGGUAUAUUUGAUAUACAUGUUAUUGACGUGUACUUUACUAGUGUUUAUAGCAACCCCUCAGUAUUUGAUACUAGUUCAGUUGCUAAGAAUAGUAACUCGAAACAGGAGUUGCAGAAUGAACAGAGACUAGUUAAGGGUGAAGUGACGAUGUGUAUAGAAAAUGGUUCCAAGAUUGAUAUGAUCAUCAUCGCACACUCCCUAUACUUUCGGGAUUAGUGUUGAACCUAAAUAAGUGUUAUUUGGUGUUUGCAUUGAGCAUGAAUAUGAUUUGAUCAUGUUUAUUGCAAUACGGUUAUUCAUUUAAGUAAGAGAAUAAAUUGUUGUUCUGUUUACAUAUAUGGUUACACACCCAAUGAAAAUGGUUCAUUGGAUCUUGAUCGUAGUGAUACACAUAUUCAUAAUAUUGAAACCAAAAGAUGCAAAGUUAAUAAUGAUAGUGCAACUUAUUUGUGGCACUGCCGUUUAGGUCAUAUUGGUGUAAAGCGCAUGAAGAAACUCCAUGCUGAUGGACUUUUGGAAUCACUUGAUUAUGAAUCAGUUGAUGCUUGCGAACCAUGCCUCAUGGGCAAGAUGACUAAGACUCCGUUCUCCAGAACAAUGUAGCAAGCAACAGAUUCGUUGGAAAUCAUGCAUACUGAUGUAUGUGGUCCAAUGAAUAUUGAAGCUCGCGGCAGGUAUCAUUAUUUUCUGAUCUUCACAGAUGAUUUGAGCAGAUAUGAGUAUAUCUACUUGAUGAAACACAAGUCUGAAACAUUUGAAAAGUUCAAAGAAUUUCAGAGUGAAAUGGAGAAUCAUCGUAACAAAAUUAGAAGUUUCUACGAUAUGAUCGCAGAAGUAAAAUAUUUGAGUUACGAGUUUGGCCUUCAGUUAAAACAAUGUGAAAUAGUUUCACUACUCACGCCACCUGGAACACCACAGUGUAAUGGUGUGUCCGAACGUCGUAACCGUGCUUUAUUAGAUAUGGUGCGAUCUAUGAUGUCUCUUACUGAUUUACCGCUAUCGUUUUGGGGUCAUGCAUUAGAGACAGCUAUAUUCACGUUAAAUAGGGCACCAUCUAAAUCCGUUGAGACGACACCGUAUGAAGUAUGGUUUGGCAAGAAACCUAAGUUGUCGUUUCUUCAAGUUUGAGGUUGCAAUGCUAAUGUGAAAAAGUUUCAAGCUGAUAAGCUCAAACCCAAAUCGGAGAAGUGCGUCUUCAUAGGAUACCCAAAAGAAAAUGUUGGGUACACCUUCUAUCACAGAUCCGAAGGCCAGAUAUUCAUUGCUUAGAAUGGAUCCUUUCUAGAGAAGGAGUUUCUCUCGAAAGAAGUGAGUGGGAGGAAAGUAGAACUUGAUGAGGUAACUAUACCUGCUCCCUUAUUGGAAAGUAGUUCAUCACAGAAAUUUGUUCCUGUGACUACUACACCAAUUAGUGAGGAAGCUAAUGAUGAUGAUCAUGUAACUUCAGAUCAAGUUACUACCGAACCUUGUAGGUAAACCAGAGUGAUAUCCGCACCAGAGUGGUACGGUAAUCUUGUUCUAGAGGUCAUGUUACUUGACCAUGACGAGCCUACGAACUAUGAGGAAGCAUGAUGAGCCCAGAUUCCGCGAAAUGGCUUGAGGCCAUGAAAUCUGAGAUGAGAUCCAUGUAUGAGAACAGAGUAUGGACUUUGAUUGACUUGCCCAUUGAUCGGCGAGCCAUUGAGAUUAAAUGGAUCUUCAAGAGGAAGACGGAUGCUGAUAGUAGUGUUACUAUCUACAAAGCUAGAAUUGUCGCGAAAAGGUUUUUGACAAGUUCAAGGUGUUGACUACGAUGAGAGUUUCUCACUCUUAUCUAUGCUUAAGUCUGUCCGAAUCAUGUUAGCAAUUGCCGCAUUUUAUGAAAUCUGGCAAAUGGAUAAACAAAACUACAUUCCUUAAUAGGAUUUAUUAAAGAAGAGUUGUAUAUGAUGCAACCAGAAGGUUUUGUCAAUCCUAAAGGUACUAACAAAAUAUGCAAGCUCCAGCGAUCCAUCUAUGGACUGGUGCAAGCAUCUCAGAGUUGGAAUAUACGCUUUGAUAAGUUGAUCAAAGCAUAUAGUUUUAUACAGACUUGUGGUGAAGCCUGUAUUUACAAGAAAGUGAGUGGGAGCAUUACAGCAUUUCUGAUAAGUAUAUGUGAAUGACAUAUUGUUGAUCAGAGAUAAUGUAGAAUUAUUCUGCAAAGCAUAAAGGAAUGUUUGAAAGGAGUUUUUCAAAGAAAGACCUCGGUGAAGCUGCUUACAUAUUGAGCAUCAAGAUCUAUAGAGAUAGAUCAAGACGCUUGAUAAGUUUUUUCAAUGAGUACAUACCUUGACAAGAUUUUGAAGUAGUUCAAAAUGGAACAGUCAAAAAGGAGUUCUUGCUUGUGUUACAAGGUGUGAAGUUGAGUAAGACUAAAAACCCGACCGCGGCAGAAGAUAGAGAGAGAAUGAAAGUCAUUCCCUAUGCCUCAGCCAUAGGUUCUAUAAAGUAUGACAUGCUGUGUACCAGACCUAUUGUAUACCCUGCCCUGAGUUUGGCAAGGGAGUACAAUAGUGAUCUAGGAGUAGAUCACUGGACAUUGGUCGAAAUUAUCCUUAGUGGAAUAAGGAUAUGUUUCUCGGUUAUGGAGGUGACAAAAGGUUCGUCGUAAAGGGUUACGUCGAUGCAAGUUUUGACACUGAUCCAGAUGACUCUAAGUCUCAAUCUGGAUACAUAUUGAAAGUGGGAGCAAUUAGCUAGAGUAGCUCCGUGCAGAGCAUCUCAUAUCAUGUCAUCAUGUGCAUCGCAUUUGCAUACGUGUUCUUCUCAUGCAUUCGAGCAUUUUCCCCGUUGUCCGUUUUGCAUUCCGGCGCUCCUAUGUCCUCCGGUGUCCCUUUCUACCUAUUUUCAUGUGCGGGUGUUAAACCUUCUCGGAUUGGACCGAGACUUGCCAAGUGACCUUGGUUUACUACCGGUAGACCGCCUAUCAAGUUUUGUGUCAUUUGGACUUCGUUUGAUACUCCAACGGUUAACCGAGGGACCGAAAAGGCCUCGUGUGUGUUGCAGACCAACACCUCUCCAAAGUGGCCCAAAACCCACCUAAAACCUCUCCAUCAUCUAGGUCGUUUGAUCACGAUCACGUGGCCGAAAACCAUGCUCAAUUUGGAGCCUCCUAGCUCCUCCUACCUAUAAAAAGUUCUCUCCCCCGAAAAUUUAGGAUCAUUCCAUCCCUAACCCUAGCCCCACUCCUCAUCCGCGCGCCGGACAUGUCCGUUUCUCGCCGGACAUGCCGCACCGCCGCCUCGAGCCAGUGAAUGAGCGCCACGUGGCAUGCCGGCCACCUCCCGGGCCCGAGGAGGGCCCCUGCGGCCCACAUCGCCCGGCCGCCGCCCGCAGCGCCCGUGCCCGCUUCCUCCUUCGUCGCGCCGCCGCCUCGCUGGCCCUGACCACCGCCUCUCGCCUCACCGCGCCUCCUCCGCCGCCUCGCCUCUGCUCGCCGUCGUCGCCUGCCAUGGCCAGAGGGCCCCGAGGUCGCCUCCCCGCCUCCCCGUCGAGCUCCGGCGAGCCCCGGCCGAGCUUCUUCCUCUACUCCGGCGCCGACCCCGACGAUCCUCGUUUUUCGCGCCGGCCCGAUCCAGAUUCGGAUUAGGGUUGACUUUUUGCCCUCGUCCCAUUAAUUUUUGCAUAUUUCAUCGCAUCAUAACUCUGCAUUCGUGGCUCCAUUUUGGGCGUGUAGCAUGUCAAAUUGUUUGUCUCGAUGAGUACUUCAUUUCAUCUCAUUGCACCAUGUUCAUUUGAGCUCAUCUUGAUGCCCUAAAUGUUGUUUCAAGAGUGCUAGUUUAUAUUAGUUUCAGAUUCUUAUCAGUAAUUGGACAUUUGUCUUUUUUGCCAUGAUUAAUGUGUGCCUCCUAUGAACUUGAGCUCUACAUGUGUUUUGAAGUAUGUCAUGCCAUCUUUACAGGGGUGUUUGCCAUGUAUUUUUGUGAUCUCUAUGGUGACUAGCACAAGCAUGCAAAGUAGCUCCCGUAAUGUUGCUGAUUUCAGGACUUAGAAAUCCUAAGUCAUUUUCCUGAUUAUAUUUUUAUGCCAUGUAUUCAUGUUGCUACAGAGUGAUCCAUGCCUCUUUUGAGCAUGAUCGGUAAGGAUGUUUUGUAGAUAUUGUGGUGCUUUAUCCAUCCAUGUAUUUGUUUGCAAUUAUGGAGCACCCUAGAUUGAGUCAAUCGAGCUCUACUUUUGCUAUAAAAUUUUCCUGGCAGAAUGUUUACGUGUUAAGCAUUUUUGCCGAGGUUGUUGUAGUCGAUCCAUGCAUGCUAUUAUGUUUUUCUUGCCAUGUUUAGCUUCUAUGCCAUGUCUACUUGCUGGGUGUAUGCUUAGUUUAUCAUCAAAUGCCUUGUGGUGAGUGCAUCGAGCUCGUAAACAUGCCUACUUAAUAUCUGUUUUGCCAUGCUCCAGUUUUCUACUAAGUCUUAAUCUAUUAACGAUAAUUGCUAUGUUCACAUGGUUGCCAUUGUAUUUUCUGAUCCCUUUUGGCUUAUGGUCAGUAAGGGACUUUUGUUGUAUGCUUUGAGUAGCUUCAUUCCAUGCCUUGAUUUGCCAUGAUGUGUUCCUGUAGCAUGUAGUUUUCAUGCUCUAAACAUUGCUUCAUGAUGUUAAAUUCAUGGCAUGUUGUUAUUUUCACUAAGUCGGUAACCUGUUAUCUUUUGCUCUUUUCCCAUGCUUGUUUGAACCUGUUAUUGAGUGAAUUAGCCGUAGCUCAGUGUUCAUCUUUUGUCAAGCAUCUUGAGUGGAUCCCUGCCAUGUAUUUUUUUGUUAUGUUAGAGUGCAGUAGCUUGUUGUUCUUGAUGCAUUUAGAUGGUCUCGUGCUGUUAAUCAUAGAUCGGUGUCAUAUUUGUUUUGCUUGUCAUUUGCAAACCGUGCAUCCGAUUCCGGUGAUCUUUAUAUCGAUUUCGACCAAAAUCAACUCCUAUUUCCAGUGGCACUCUUGGAUUUCCAAGUUGAGUCCAGGUUCAAUCUUUCUUUUCCAAAACAUGCAUAUGCAUCGCAUAUCACAUCCCGCAUAUCAUGCCAUGUUUUGCAUCAUGUUGCUUGUGCAUUGCACGUGGUUGAUUGUGUCUCCCUUUGAUUGUGUUGUUGCUUUGGGUAGAGCCGGGAGACGAGUACGUGAUCGAGGAGCCCGUUGAGUACGUUUACGAGGAUCAAGCUAACGUCAACUCGGAGAACUUUGCAGGCAAGAUGACCAUACCCUCGAAAUCACUUCUAUCUUUGCUUGCUAGAUGCUCGCUCUAUUGCUAUGCCUAUGCUACGAUACCUACCACUUGCUUAUCAUGCCUCCCAUAUUGCCAUGUCAAACCUCUAACCCACCUUGUCCUAGCAAACCGUUGUUUGGCUAAGUUACCGCUUUGCUCAGCCCCUCUUAUAGCGUUGCUAGUUGCAGGUGAAGAUUGGAGUUUGUUCCUUGUUGGAACAUGUUUACUGAUGGGAUAUCAUUAUUAUAUCUUGUCUAUUUUAAUGCAUCUAUAUACUUGGUAAAGGGUCGAAGGCUCGGCCUUAUGCCUGGUGUUGUGUCCCACUCUUGCCGCUCUAGUUUCCGUCAUACCGGUGUUAUGUUCCUUGAUUUUGCAUUCCUUACACGGUUGGGUUAUAAUGGGAACCCCUUGACAGUUCGCCUUGAAUAAAACUCUUCCAGCAAUGCCCAACAUUGGUUUUACCAUUCACCACCUAGCCUUUUCCCUUGGGUUUCGCGGACUCAAGGGUCAUCUUUAUUUUAAACCCCCGGGCCAGUGCUCCUCUGAGUGUUGGUCCAAACUGAGCUGUCUGCGGGGCCACCUUGGGGAAACUUGAGGGUUGGUUUUACUCAUAGCUAGUCUCAUCCGUUGUGCCCUGAGAACGAGAUAUGUGCAGCUCCUAUCGGGAUUUGUCGGCACAUUCGGGUGGCUUUGCUGGUUUAGUUUUACCAUUGUCGAGAUGUCUUGUAACCGGGAUUCCGAGUCUGAUCGGAUUGUCUUGGGAGAAGGAAUAUCCUUCGUUGAUCGUGAGAGCUUGUGAUGGGCUAAGUUGGGACACCCCUGCAGGGAUUUGAUCUUUCGAAAGCCGUGCCCGCGGUUAUGGGCAGAUGGGAAUUUGUUAAUGUCCGGUUGUAGAAAACCUCUAAGUUAAAUUAUUUAAAAUGAAUCAACAGAGUGUGUGGCCGUGAUGGUCUCUUUUCGGCGGAGUCCGGGAAGAGAACACAGUCUCGAGUUAUGCUUGAACGUAGGUUGUUCUAGGAUCACUUCUUGAUCAUAGUUAAUCGAUCAUGUCUUUGCCUUCUCUUCUCGCUCUCAUUUGCGUAUGUUAGCCACCAUAUAUGCUAGUGCUUGCUGCAGCUCCACCUCAUACCUUUUAUCCUUCCUAUAAGCUUAAUUAGUCUUGAUCGCGAGGGUGUGAGAUUGCUGAGUCCCCAUGACUCACAGAUUACUUCCAAAACCAGAUGCAGGGACCGAUGAUACCACUCCAGGAGAUUCGACUGAGCUCAAGUGGGAGUUCGAUGAGGACUCAGGACGAUACUACGUUUCCUUUCCAGACAAUCAGUAGUGGAGCCCAGUUGGGGCGACCGGGGACUUUGUUGCAUUUGGGUUUGUUCUUUAUUUUGGUUCCGUAGUCGGACAAUGAUUGUAUCUGGAUGAAUGUAAUGUUAUUUAUUCUACGGUGUGACGUGGCGAGUGUAAGCCAACUAUGUACCUUUUUCCCUUAUUCAUUACAUGGGUUGUGUGAAGAUUACCCCACUUGCGACAUUGCUUACAAUGCGGUUAUGCCUCUAAGUCGUGCUUCGACACGUGGGAGAUAUAGCCGCAUCGUGGGUGUUACAAACUCGUUUAGCACACUCUCAAUAUUGAUCCAAAGUAUAAACCUGUCAGACAGUUUCUCCGACGGUUCAAUGAAGAAAGGCGCUAGGCCAUUGGAGAAGAGGUGGCCCGGCUCUUGGCGGCUGGGUUCAUCGUAGAAGUCUUUCACCCAGAGUGGUUAGCCAACCCGGUGCUUGUACUCAAAAAGAAUGGCACCUGGCGUAUGUGUGUGGAUUACACCGAUCUGAACAAGGCUUGUCCGGCUGAUCCUUUUGCCCUCGCCCGUAUUGAUCAGAUCAUCGAUGCUACGACGGGUUGCGCACGUUUGAGUUUCUUGGAUUCUUAUUCAGGUUACCAUCAGAUCAAGAUGGCGGUCAAAGAUCAGGAGAAGACGGCUUUCAUCACCCCCUUUGGAGCUUUCUGCUAUGUACCUAUGCCUUUUGGGCUUAAGAGUGCCCAGGCGACUUAUCAAUGGUGUGUGCAGAAUUGUCUUCAUAAUCAGAUUGGAUGUAAUGUUCAUGCCUAUGUGGAUGGUAUAGUGGUUAAAUCCAGGAAAGAGGAAACCUUGGUUGCGGAUCUGAAAGAGACCUUUGAUAAUCUCCGGGUCUACAAAAUGAUGCUUAACCCGGCUAAGUGUGUUUUUGGAGUCCCAACCGGCAAGCUCUAGGGUUUUUUGGUGUCCAACCGAGGUAUUGAAGCUAACCCGGAGAAAAUCAAGGCAAUUACAUCCCUGGCCAAACCAACAUGCAUCAAUGACGUUCAACGGCUGGCAGGUCGUGUUGCUGCUUUGAGCCGGUUCAUAAGCCGGUUAGGGGAGAAGGCAAUGCCUUUGUAUCAGACGAUGAAGAAAACAGAUGAUUUUGUUUGGAGCGAUGCUGCAAACUCUGCUUUUGAAGAUUUGAAGAAACAGCUUGCUGAGCUGCCGGUCCUUGCUACUCCAGUUGAGAAAGAGCCGCUGUUGUUAUACGUGGCUGCCAACUCACGAGCUGUUAGUGUGGCUAUUGUGGUGGAGCGCAAGGAGGCUGGCAAGGAACAUCUGGUUCAACGUCCGGUUUACUACGUCAGUGAGGUGUUAAUUGAAUCCAAGCAACGAUAUCCACAUUGGCAGAAGCUCGUAUAUGGGGUGUUUAUGGCAAGCCGGAAGCUUAAACAUUAUUUUCAGGGUCAUCCAAUCACUGUGGUCAGCUCUGCUCCUUUGGGAGACAUCAUUCAAAACAGAGAAGCCACUGGACGAGUCGCCAAGUGGGACAUUGAGCUUGGGUCUCAUGGGUUGAAGUAUGUACCACGUACUGCGAUCAAAUCUCAAGCACUGGUUGACUUCAUUAAUGACUGGAUGGAGAUGCAGAUGCCAGAAGAGAAACCAGACAACACAUACUGGACUAUUCAUUUUGAUGGAUCCAGAUAGUUGGAGGGCUCGGGGGAUGGAGUUGUUUUAACCUCUCCUCGAGGUGACAAAUUUUGUUAUGUGUUACGCUGAUGUUUCCUUGCACUAACAAUGCAGCGGAGUAUGAAGCCUUGCUCCAUGGUCUUCGAGUGGCAAAAGAGAUGAGUUUGAGCCGGGUCAGAUGUCUUGGCGACUUAGAUUUAGUGGCUCAACAGGUGUCAGGCAAGUGGGAUUCCAAGGAUCCUCUCAUAGCGGCUUAUCGCCGGGAGGUUGAUGCUGUUGCAGGGCAUUUUAAAGGUUAUCAGGUGGAGCACAUUGACCGUAGGAAGAACGAAGCGGCUGAUGCUUUAAGCCGGUUGGGGUCUCAGCGUAAGCUGGUACCACCUAACACCUUUUUGGAUGUUUUGCAUAACCCGUCUGUCAAAUUGCCCACAGAAGAAGAUUUAGCCGUUCCUGACCCGGAGGCGCAGUUGGUGGUGGCUCUUCAUGUCAUCCCAGAUUGGAUAGUGCCGUUCUUGGCUUACAUGACCCGAGGAGAAUUGCCAGCGGAUGAGACUUUGGCUCGACAGAUAACCCGGCGGUCUAAGUCAAUGACGAUUUCAGAUGGAGAACUAUACCAUCGCAGCGUCUCUGGAGCGUUUCAGCGGUGUGUUUCCCCCGAAGAAGGCCAAGAAAUACUUCGUGAGAUCCAUGAAUGCGAUUGUGGUCAUCAUGCUGGGUCAAAAUCUCUGGUGGCCAAGGCUUUUCAUCGUGGUUUUUAGUUUUUACUGGUUGAUGGCUCACGCUGAUGUAGAGGAUUUGGUCAGCAGAUGUGAUGGAUGUCAAAAGUUUGCACAACGAGCACAUGUACCGGCUCAAGAGCUCCGGAUGAUUCCAAUCACUUGGCCGUUUGCGGUCUGGGGGCUUGACAUGGUGGGACCUUUCAAAAGGUCUAAGGAUAAAAAGACGCAUCUCUUGGUGGCAGUUGAUAAAUUCACUAAGUGGGUUGAGGCGGAGCCAGUAAGUAAGUGUGACGCGGCCACGGCGGUUCACUUCAUGAAAAAGGUGAUCUUCCAUUUUGGUUUUCCACACAGCAUUAUCACGGACAAUGGCACUAAUUUAUCCCAAGGGGCUAUGGACGAGUUUUGUCAACGUGAACAUAUUCGGCUUGAUGUUUCUUCCGUAGCUCAUCCUCAAUCUAAUGGUCAAGUUGAGAGAGCAAAUCGGUAAAUUUUAAAAGAUCUCAAACCCCGGCUUAUGGUUCCCUUAUAGCGAACACCGGGUUGUUGGAUAGAGGAAUUACCCUCGGUGCUGUGGAGUAUCAACACCACACCUAGCAGGUCUACAGGUUACACACCUUUUUUCAUGGUGUAUGGAGCAGAAGCAGUGUUGCCUAGUGACAUCCGUCAUGACUCGCCCCGCGUGGCGGCUUAUGUUGAAGCUAAUAAUGAACAAGCCAGACAGGAUGCACUCGACUUGUUAGAUGAAGAAAGAGACUUAGCAGCGGCUCGAUCAGCAAUUUAUCAACAGGACCUGCGCCGUUAUCACAGCCGCCGGGUUAAGUCCAGAACUUUUCAGGAAGGCGACCUGGUGCUCCGGCUCAUCCAGGAUCUGUCAGAUGCACACAAGUUAUCCCCACCUUGGGAAGGACCCUUUCUGGUCAGCAAGAACUUAACCAACGGGUCAUAUUACCUCAUCGACGUUCGAGAGUACAAAGACUCACGUAAGUCGGAGGAGGAGACCCGCCGGCCGUGGAACAUUGCUCAACUUCGGCCAUACUACACCUGAGCCACCGGCUCUCAUCAUGUACAUACUUUAACAUUGUAUAUACCAUGACAAGUAAUAAAGCAGGACCAUCGGUCUCUUUUCUUUUCAAAAGAUUAUGUAUCUUUGUUAUGUUUUAUUUUCAACUGACUAUUAAGGAGUUGAUCAUAUUUGAAUCAAGUCUAACCUUUUUUGGUCCAGCUUAUGAUCGUAAUCGAAUCUAGCUGCAAUAUCAUGGUCACUUGGGGGCUUCCUGUUCAAACAUAUGUCCUAUUCAAACCAAAGAGAACAUAGUUGUCGUAACCCUCUUGAUCGGCUCAAGGCCAAACUCACUUGGGGGCUUCUUGAUCGUAUCCGAAUCAUAGCUUAACCCCUUUUGGGUCUGACUUGGAUCGUAUUCGAAUCAGGUUCGUUAAAAACCUCUCAAGGUCAUUUGGGGGCUUCAUGUUCAAACAUAGGUCAUAUUCGAACCAAAGAGAACAUAGCUGUCGGUACCCUCUUGAUCGGCGCAACGCCAAAGCCACUGGGGGCUAUAUGGUCGUAUUCGAACCUUAGCUUAACCCCUUUGGUCUGGUUUACUGAUCGUAUUCGAAUCAGAAGCCCCCAACCUUUUCAAUACAAGGUUAAAUUAUACUUAUUAUCUAUUGUUUGCCUUUUAAUUUUUUGUUGUCUCAAUAUUACAAAUAAUUAGCCUCGUCUUCUUCGCCGGCUGGACUAUUUGACAACAAAGCCACCAAGGUAUGAUGAUCAUUGAGUAUUCAGAAGCAUUGACUUCUCAAAAAAAUUGAGUUAUCAACUUCAUUACCCGGGUCAUUUAAACCGGUGGUCUAAGGAUCAAAGGUACACAUAUGGUUAUUGUUUAUACGCAAUUGCCUGCUACAUUAACCAACGGGUUAGUUUCAGCCUUGUUCUCUUUUUUCUGUUUCUAUUUUUUAUUAUGGUAAACAUAUUGGCUAUAAGCCGGGUGUUCUAACCCGUUCGGUACUAAGCUGCCAAGCCAGUAUUUUCCCUUAUAUCUACAGGGACAGAGCUAAAAUAUUACAGGGACAACCAUAAGUAUGAUGCACAUAUUGACAUCAGGAAACACAGAAUCACAUAUAAGUGUUUUAUGCGUGAGGGCAUAAGCAAAGCAUAGUGUUUUCACAACUAAACUAUUACAAGGUUUUUAUAAACCCAUGAAGAUGAUUAUUGCUCCUUCCUCGCCGGUUCACCGCCCUCUAUUGGCUGGAAGCUGGGUUUUGACUAGUCAAAACCAUUCACGGCGACAAAUUCUGCUUCUUCGUUGAUCAGGCCGGCCGGGUCAACUUCCGGGGAAAAUGUAUUUUCUCUUACAGGUGGGAUCAAAUCUGUCACCUUGUACAAGGGAGUCGCCAUCUUCUUAUUUUCAACAUCAAAACCCGGCUGGUAUUUGUCGAUGUUGGUAUCAUCUCCAAGGGUAGUUACCUGAGGUCGGACUCCACGCACGCAAGCCAUGAAGUCAUCCUGCUCAAAGGGAGAUCCGUCUUCCUUCACGGUGGGAUAGCCUCUGGCCACGUCCGCCAGGUCUAGGUCUGGCACCCAAGCCUUGGAGCGGCUCAUGGCAGUCAAAGCUCCGGCUCGCGCAUAGGAGCGCUUCACUUCUUGAAAUCUGGCAGGCAGGACUGACAGUUUCUUCAAGACGUCGCUGAGCCGGUUGGGUCCUUGAUUGGCAGGAGAGAUGGCGGCAAGUGCCCGUUGUGCGCCAAUAUACAAUUGUUCUACUAAGGUAUACACUGCCUUCAGUUUAAUCAAAGGAUCUUAGCUCAGGUUUUUGCUUCAUGGGCCUGCGCAUAUUUUAUACACAAAGUCAGCUGGCGGCUUAUAUUCCGGAUCAGUAAAAAGUACACAAGAUUAAAGACAGAUGGCUUACCAAAGAUGGCGGCCUCCAUUUGAGACACCCGACCCUUUAAACCGUUCAGUUCUAUUGAAACCUCUUCAAGGGCUGCUUCGGCCUUUUCGGCACGUUGUGUCAGAAGCGUUUUUUCCUCUGCCCAGGUUUUCUUCUUGGCGGUGAAGCUGGUCUUUAAAUUUUCUGUCUCAGAGAGACUUAUUUGCAGUUUGGAGUUAGCGGAUUUGAUUUCUGCCUCCUAACUCGCUAGCCUGGUCUUCGCAUCAGUCAAUUGCGAGUUCAGUUCAGAUAAGGCAUUCUGCAAAAAAACACUCAGAUGAGUCAAGAUUUUGCUUAAAGUUCAAAAAUCAAGAUUCAAGUCUCAAGUACUUUACAAAAAACCACUUGACACUCGGGGGCUAAUGUAUGCCAAAACAAAUUUUUAUGACUCUAAAGACAUACUUUAAGUCCCAAGUACUUUACAAAGUAACAGCACUUGGCACUUGGGGGCUAAUGUAUGCAGUUCAGGAAGUUUCUCAAGGUUAAGCCGGAGUAUUAAGUCCUUUGAAUAUGGUACAAAACAAUUUAAAGUACCGACUCAUUUAUGAUUAAAAGGAACCAGCCCUUGGGGACUACAAGUGAAGCUUUGUUCUAUUUUAGUGAAUUCAAGAAAAGUUUCAAAGGUAAAGGUCUUGGCCUAUAUUAUAAAGUCUACAGAUCAUUCCGGUUCUCUCAUAAUGUGAAGACUUGGGGGCUGGAGGAAUAUAGAUAAGCCGGAAGAACAUACCUCGUAUUUCAACUGCAACUGUUUGACCAUUUCGAUCUCAGAGUCGCGACUAGAGUACACAUGGCUGAGAUAGCUGGAUAAAAUAUCGUUGGCAUUUAGAUGAUCAUAAUUGGCAACGUCAAAGCGCACUUUCUGCCUCUCCAAUGCCUCUUGUUUCGUCGUGUGGCGAGCCAGCAUAGUUGGAUUCCCCGGCUCAAUAAAACGGCUCCCGGUGAUCAAAACAUCUUGUGCAGACGGUGAUGGCGGGUUGGCUGAGCUUGAUGGUCCAGUUGUGGAAGGGUUCACAGUGGUCUCAUCAAACGACGGCUCAGGAGGAUUUUCUUCUGCAUCGACAGGCGGGUCUUCUGGAGCGUCAGUUAAUGGAGGAGAAGAUGGCCUGGCCGGGUCAGAUGCAAGCAUUGGCGGGUCUUCCGCCGGUUUAGCUGCCUUUACCUUCUUGGACUUAGCUUGGCCAAUAAGAGAAAUGUUGCAGGACUGUCAGUAUAAAAAUACAAUUUGAACAACCCGAAAAAAAGGAGGAUUUUUCAUUACCCAGGGGCAGUCUUGAAGGCCGGAAAUUCAGUCUGUGAUGAGUCGCCAGAAGAGCGAGACACCUCCUGAAAAGAUAAAAUAAAGUUAAAGUAAUGCAAGGGAAAGGAUCCAUUAAACGGAGUUAAUUAAGGACAAAAGAAGUAAACCUCAUUCCGGCGCUUCUGAGGAGUUUGUUGAAGAACAACAGCCGGUUCGUCUUCGGUCCGGGCUUGACGGCGGCUCUCAUGUUGCUGCUUUUUCAAAAUAAAGUUGGGAUCCAAGUGAGCUAAAGGGUUAGAAAACCUUACUUUACGGAUCACUCGUCGAAUUUUUUGUCUUGGCAAGGGCUCUGAGUCGGAGGAAAUGAUAGUUACCUCUUCUUCUUCCACGGCCUGACUGGCCCCAGUGUCAUCCUGGUAAUGAUCAGUGUUAAUAAGAUUAUUAAAAAAAAUUGGCCAAGGGAAUCAAGGGCUACCUCCGACUCAGAUGUAUCGUCAAGCUUCAUCCAAUCUUCAGCAGUGUUCUUCUUCUUCUUUUUCGACCUCCGGGUCGUCUUCUUGGCGUUUAUGGCUGCGGCUCUCGCUUUCUUGGCAGCCUCGUGGUCAUAUUUAACUUUCCAGAAGUCAGAGUUGGCCUGCAGACAGGUAAAAACACGAUGAAAAGGUCAGGCAAGUAUUAAACAAUACGGCUGGGAAAAAUACAAAGGAGAAGAGAUCAGAAUAUCCUUACUUCUGGCACCGGGUUAAGCUUGCAGAAGGGGUUUAACCCGACAAUACUGCAAUCUUCGUAUUUACCGUUCACCAAAAGGGUUGACAUUGAAACAAUAUCUUCUUCUGUUAAUUGAGCGGGGUUGUGACGAAGAGAGUCAUCCGGACCUCCACCAUACUCAUACAUCAGCUUUGACUGACGGCUUAGAGGGAUGACCCGCCAUGAGAUCCAGCAGCGGGUCAGAUCAACUCCAGUUAACCUGUUCCCUAACAGAGCAUUAAUCCUUUUGAUGUAUGGUAUCAGCUUUCUGCGUUCAGCGGCAGUGAGCUUGUCAGGAAGCGCGAACUUGGAGUCAAGACGUUCGGAGCGAUAACCCGGCAAUGGCCUCUCGUUUGCCGGUGAAAUGUCUUGGCAGUAAAACCAAGUCUGAUUCCAGUCUUUUGGAUGACUCGGCAAGACUAUGGGGGGGAAGACAGCGCCCUGCCGGCGUUGAAUUGAGAUGCCUCCAAGCUCUAAGCUAAGGUCGUUGGUGCACUUGUUUUGCCAGUUCAGAUAAAAGUAUUCUCUAAACAGAUCCACAGUCGGCUCUUGUUGAAGAUACACCUCACAGAGCACUUGGAAGUUACAGAUGUUAGAUAUGGAAUUGGGCCCAAUAUCUUGAGGGUGGAGUUUAAAAAAGUGGAGGAUCUCUCUGAAGAACUUUGAGCCGGGCGGUGAGAAGCCACGGUUCAUAUGGUCAGUAAAAACAAUCACCUCACCUGCCCUUGGAUUGGGUCGUUCUUCGUCUGGGUUAGGGGCACGGUAAGACAUGACGUCUUUUCCUGGCAGAAAUCCUAUGGUGAAGAACUCUUUCAAACGUUCCUCAGUUACGGUUGAGGGAACCCAGUUACAGAUGGUUGGUGCUUUGGACGGCAUGAUGUUCAAAGACGAACUGAAAAGAAAGACAACAUGCCGGUUCAAUUCAAUGGUGAUUUUAAUAGUUAAGUGAUGAUGAUGCAAAUAAGUAAUGGCGGCUUAAUUAAGGGCUAAUGUCAUAUAAGGAAAAGAAAGCCGGCACAGUAAGCCGCCAUGACUGUAGAUAUUUGAAGAAAGCAAAUUUAGCUACAAAUUUAGCUAAGUGUUGAGACAAAUAAGUUUCCUAAAUUGCUUGGUAUUAUUCCAGAUCAAGUGGUUAUUCACAAUCCAAAAAAAUUCUAGACCUAAAAAGUUUGGUGCAGAGGAGUCUGUAAGUUCUAAUGAGGUCUUUGAACCAGAGAAAGAGAUCUGUGGAUAUCAAGAGUAGGCACAAAACCACUACCCCACAAGCAUGCAUAUCUUUUUGGAUCAAGAAGAACUGCAGUGGAAGAACUGCGAAGAACUACGAUGAACCAUGAAGAACACGCAGGAGCCUGGAAACCCUAAUGCAGAUCUGAGAAACGAAAGGAAGAACACUUACCGUCGCAGGUCUUCUGCGGAGGUCGCCGCCGUUUCUCUGGACCGAUUCGAGUUGAUGCAGCGGCCAAGGUCGACGAAGACGAAGGAGAAGCGCGACGGCGGUGAGGCUCGAGCAGCAGAAGGGUUGCGAGAGGAAGAAGACGGAGAGAGAGAGAAGAAUGAGGAAGGCCGAAGCGUGCCUAUUUAUAAGGAAAAUGUGAACAGACGGGCGCGAAAAUCGAGGGAUAGCCGAAUAAUGGUUACCCAACUACACAGACGCCUCGAUUCUCGGAAGACAUUAAAGAUGAAGAUCCGUUGGGAGAUGACGUCAUAAAAGUUUUUUGCGUUUUCAAGAGAUGACAUCAUGGCGGGUUACAAGAACUUCUGCAUGGAUAAGAAGAUGGAUUUUGUUUAAGUGUUGAAGAUUGACAAAGAACGAAGUUCAAAGUCAACCUGGGCCUAAUGUUGGGGAUAUAACUAUCAGUUAUGACCCGCCCAGGAGGGGCCGGGUCAGCCCCAAUGGCGGGUUACACAAGAAGCCCAGUAAACCUUAAAGACGAUAGUUUGUCAAAUCUUAUAGAAGGCCCAAAGGCCUGGAGGCGGCUUAAGGCCCGGUAUUGUGAACCGCCGUAUGUAAGGAAAGACUUGUAAAGAAAGGCAUGUAAAAGAAGUCACCGAGCCGGACACGAUUAUGAGCCGGCCGGGACUCUGUAAACCACCAGGCGUCAACCCGUGUAUAUAAGGGGACGACCCGGUGGCGGCUUAGGGCAAGAAACAAGAGCUCGAUAACCAAGCCGACGAGUUAAGCCUCUUGGUGAUCGAACCCCCAGCAAUACCAACACAACUAGACGUAGGCUUUUACCUUCAUUGUAAGGGGUCGAACUAGUAUAAAACCUCUCGUGUCCUUUGUCCCGAUUAACCCCUUUAAGCUUCCUAGUUGCGAUGGCCCUACGACUAAGUCCUUUCUCUAGGACAUCUGUCGUGACAAUUCCACGACACCCUGCGUCCGACAUCCUCAUCCAUUGGCUCGGCACGGGCAUGAGCAUCCAGCGUUGCCUGGUUGCCCAAGGGGAGCUGGGGCCGGAGGAAAAGGGAUGUGGCGUGCCUGACGACAAAUCUGCAGUGGCACGGAGCAUGAUGGGCGCCGUGCUCGCCCACAUUGCGUAGCCAGGUCAUCAGGGGCGUCGCAGGGCUCAAGCUCCUGCCAAUGUCCACCCGCGAACGUUGGAUGGCAAUGCGGAGCGCGAGCUCCUCGUCGUCCAGAGGCUCGUUGCCGAAGCCAUCCUCCUUCGAGAGCUUGUCCCAGUCGAUGGAAUCAGACUCGCUGUCGAAGUGGCUAUCGAAGACGGCCAUGGUGGGGGGAGGGGGGGAUGGGAAGGGGAGGAGUCGAAAAGUGGAAGCGAUCAAGAUUAUGGACUUUGACUAGGGUUUCAGCCGGCGGUGGAUUAUUUGUGGGCUCAUGGUGGCCCAUAGUGGGCCAUAUUUGAUGUGGCAAAUGAGUCGAGGCCUUCCCAUAUCUACCUUAAAUAUGAGUUGGGUACUGAGGGUGUCGGACAGCCGAGACAUUUGGGUUGAGUUUGCCAGGUCCAGUUGGAUGACAACUUGUUGUCCGGAGAGUAACCGAUUUGUUAUCCGGAUAGUAACUGAGCAGACCGGUCAAACGUUUGGGGAGGAUAAUGGGGACUCUCGUUGUAGAUGCUCUCGACACAACAUGCAUCGCUAAUAAUACAGUCAGAAAUCUCACAAUAUUUAAUUGCACAUUUUUUAGACGAUAGCAACUUUGCAAAUUCAUUGAAGUGUUAUUCAUCACGAUAACAGGAUUGUAAUUAACUUCUGACUUAUUGUGCCCGUUCAGAGGCCCUCCGCUCCACAACUCUGUCACGAGCGGAGUGGGCUGCAGUUCAAAUUUCCAAAGCGAUGGAAUAGGUGCUCCGCCAGAUUCGUGGAGCCGGUGGAUUACCAAACAGGCCCAUCAUAUCGACGUUCCUACUCUUAAAUUGUGUGUACUGAGUCUUACGAACACGAACCUGUCAACAUUUUAACACCUAAAACAAGCCAAAUCAAGCAAUUUUACGCCCUUCAAGUGCUAAAAGAGUGAAAUAUUUUAACAGCAUCACACUGCAAUAAUCAAGCCACGACGGCGGAUAACAUAGUGAUCUCCUGACAAUAUUUACAUGCGUGGACACAUACUUGCAGUGAACCCACCCAAUAAAAGCUGUACAUUUUUUUCUGGGAUAUUUUCUCCCAAGGACUGUUCCUAGCAUAUUUUAGAUAUAUGUACACCGCUGAAUGCUGAGACUACAAUGGCUAGAACUAGCAAACCAUUUUUGAGAACAGAUCAUCGAGAGCCGAGUACAAGGGUUGCGCAGCUCUGGGCUUCUCCACCCUCCCAAACAGGAUAUCGGUCGUGGUCACGUAGGCGUCCCCAUAGAAGCGCAGAUUGGUGUCUGGUCUUGUUGUCACGACAUUUCCUUCAAGGGAGACCCCAACAAAGGCACCUGUUUCAAGUUUUGAGAUGAAGCUAUGAAUCAGAAGGAUACUGAGAUACCUGUAAUGAAGCCUACAAGAUUCUUAACAGGGAAAGCCAAACAUUGGAGACUGAAUUUAAUUGAAAAGGCAUCCUUUGGCUAAUGAGAAGACAGAAUGUGUGCCUAUGACCUUUUUUUCCUCCUUAAAAAUGAGAUUGUAAAGUAACUUUCAAACAUUAUUUUACAUGACACAAUAAACACUCUUAAACUUGACAAAUAACUUCAGAGGACAAGCUCAGUCCAAAGUUUAAAAACUUAAAUUUGUUUUUUUUAGAGUUAAAUACACUGGAGGUGCCUCAACUUGUCCUGGGCGGUCAGUUUGGUGCCUAAAGUUGCAAAAUACAUGAAACUAGUGCUUGAACUUGUCUAAUCGUGCAAAUAUGGUGUCUCCUUAAAUAUCCAAACGUACGUCCAAUCUGCAUGACGUCCCAGCAUGGCGGUGGCCCACCUAUAAGUGGCUGAGAGUGGGAAAGUGUUGGGUACUCCGUGCAUGAGGAAUUAUUUUACAAAACCCCCCUUAUAUUUAUUUUAAUCACAUAGGAAAGACGUGAAAUACAGUGUAUGCUAGCGAGAAAUAAGAUGAAAAAAUCAUCAUGAAGGGGUUUAAAACCUCCUGGUCAACUACGGCUGAUCUGUCCACUUGCCCAAAAUAUGUAUUGUGUUCACCUCUUAGCUAGAAAGCUAUGUGGACGCACGUAUCACUCUUUAAUUUUCCUAAUUCGUUAUCUAUCAGUUUCAUUUUUAUUUUUAUCCAAUUUCUUGUUUAGUUUCAUGAGAUGUAACUUUCCCAUAUAAAAAAUACAAUAUGCAAUUAUUUUUUAUUUUAAAUAUUUUUUCUUUUUUGUUAUUGCAUACUUUGAAGAGGUAGGCAUUAACUUUUCAAAAAUUUAUGGGGAUUGAAAUAGUUCUGCCUAUAUUAGAAAUUAUUGUGUAAAUUUAUGUAUGUUCAUUCUGGACCACAAGCACACACUAUUAUUGUUUAUCUUCAUUGUAUUUCUAAAAUACCUAAUUAUUAACAAUUUUACAACGUUGUAUUCUGUAAACUAUUUAACAUGCAUUAAAAGGUAUUUUGGUGAGCUUUUUAAUACAAUUAUUCAAAAAUGUUACAGAAUAAUUUUAAUACACGUUCAACUCUUUUUAAAUACACAUUGCCAAUUUUGUAAUGCGAGACAAACAUUUUUUAAAUGCACAUUCUAAUUUUUUAAUACAUGCUAAACAUUUUUCAAAUGCACUAACACUUUCUUUGAGUUUAUGGCAGUCGUAUUUUUUCUUACAUUUUUUCUUGAACGAAAAAAACAGUGUGAAAAAUAAAAAUAAAGAACUUGAAAAACUGAAAUAAAGUUUGUGCGGGUCCAUAGAAGUGCCAUAUAUAAAUAAGAAUCGCUUGAAGAGGUACAUAGCAACCAAAGAGGAUUUUUAGAGCAUGGUGGCCACUGAGCACAUUUUUUAAAGGCUAACAUCUGCCACUUAAAAGUUUCAAAAGGAGUUGAUUGUUUUCACACAAAAAUGUAUGCAUGUGCUCUAAGUGACUUUCAAAUUUCAUUUGAAAUUAUGUUAUAUUAUAUCCUGCAAAAAACAAGAGAACAUCACGGCCAAACAAAAAGCCAAUUUUUGCAUGUAUUUGUCUUUUUUAUCUCUCGCAUACAAGCACAUAUAUUAAUGAAAAUUCACAAGGAUAUAUUACACUUCUAUGUGUGCAUGUACAAAAAAUCAAAAACAUUCAGAAAUUUUUUAGCUAUAAAAAAUCCGUUUCUUUGAACUUCAAAAAAAUAGGACACAACCCGUGCUCCAAAGUUACUUUAUGCAUAGCGAUGCAAUAUAUGGAGUUCGACCUCAAUAUUUACUGAGCUAUGUAUGGCAUGGUGGACAACCUUUGCGUACAAUGCAAUGUGUGACAACGAGGGUUCGAUCCUGUAUCACAUUUUUUUUUCCCUUUUCUAAUUUCUAAUUCAUGAGAUUUGCCUGCAUGACUAAUUAUAUGAGGGGGUCUUGUAAAAAAAAUCCUCACGCUCGGGCCACCUAGCGCCUUCCAACUCUCAGCCACUGCCACGCUGGCACGCCACGCAGGCUGGACGUACGUCCGGAUACAGAUGGAGGCGCCGUAUUUGCAUGUCAGGACAAGUUCGAGCACCAGUUUCAUGUAUUUUGCAACUUUAGGCACUAAACUAACCGUGCAAGACAAGUUGAGGCACCUCCAGUGUAUUUAACUCUUUUUUUACUUGAUAACAGUGUUAAAAUUGUGCUGAUUUCCACCCAUUUCAGUCAUGUCUAAUGCACAUCUGAAACAACAGCAAUAAUUCUCAGACGCGACUUUCUUAUUACCUUUGCUGCAGCUAUAAGUGUAGCAUAUCCCAGAACCUUUUUCACUUGCUCGAACAUCUGCUUCAAGGGCUCUGCCAAUUGGUCCUGCUGCCGCACUCAAUCCUGCCCCAAGAGAAAGAUGCAUGCGGCUGCUGAAUGCCUUGACAGCUUUAAGAUCAUGAAGCACAAUUAUAAAAUCUGUCAAUUCUCCUCCAAUCUGGAAAACACAAAGAAAUGUCAUUAUCAUGGUGAGAUGAUCUUAAGUAAUGACAUAGUGUAGUUCAGUGUCCAAAUAACAAGAGUGCUUCAACAUAAACUUGUCUCUGAUAUCAUGCCAAUCUCAUAAGCAAACAGGACAUGAUGCUUAAUGCAUUUCAUGGAAAUUAUUCUGUGAAGAUCACAAGAAUGAAAUGAGUAACAUGCAUGUUCCUUUUGUCUGGUGAACAUCACAAGAAUUAUAUCACCAGCAGAUAAGCUUAGGCGUUGCCCGUGGAUUCAGAGAGAAGAUUUUACUGGAGAAAUACCUGCACUCCCCAUCCCAAUCCAACAGAUAAAAUCGCUGAUGGCGCAGACCAUGAUCCAUCUGAUCGGCGAGCAACUACAAGACCAGUGCCCAUUUUGUACGUAAGAACUGCACCUGCUUUGGCCACUGUGAGCACAGCAAGCCCCUUUGCUCCCUUGAGGAUAGAUGAUGGUAUUGACUUCUCAGGAUUUAAUCUAGAAACCUACACAUACCAAAACAGAAACACUUCUCAGCUCUGGAAUACAAGUAUAUAUCGGUUGGGUACAAAAUUAAACAUACCUGGCAAUAUUUCCUCAGUGUGUUUGUUGCCUUGUAUAUUUCAUACUCCAUUGAUAAUCCAACAGGCAAAUUCAACCAGCUCCUCGUACUUGUCCAAUCCAUGACGUCAUGUUUGGCAGGCUGCAUGGCAUUACUGUUGUAGUUGAUCAAUAAGGCCUGGAGUGGAUCAAGUCUAUCGUAGCAAGCAUCACACACUCUCUGAGGAUCACGCAGUCUGAACUUCAUGGGCAUCAAGCAUCUUCCCUUGGAACAUUCUUUGCAGAAUAUACCUCCACAGAAGCGGCAAUGGUGCCUUCCACGAGUCAGAGCUGUGAAAGGACAGCUGCACUGCAGGCAUACACUGGUAGAGCUAUCCGGUAACCAUUCCGGGGGAUCUGCCUGAAGCACCUCCCUGUAUGCACUGAACUGUAAAGCAUUUGCCUCAAGUAGCGGCGGUGCACUCGGAACGCAAACAGAUGAAUGCAAAUCACCAUCCUUGCCAGCACCUAGAAAUGAUACAUCCAUGCUGAAACUUUGCUGCCGUGAUGCAUCAUCCCCAAUCUUGCUUGGACGCGAAACAAUUGCAGCAAGACCACCUAGAACGGUCUUCAGGUUGAUAGUUGAGCUAGCUUGAGCUGUCGGAAAGGGAUCUUCUCUUGAACCAUAUUCAGAUGGAAAGUCUGGUUCCAGAGAUGGCUCAUAGAGAUAGUCAUACACUGGGUAUGUGUUUUCUGGAGCUAGAUCGGACAUAGGAGCCGCCUGGCUGUGGUAGCUAUCAAUUUUGGAGAGGGAUGAGUACGAUGUCACUUCAUUUGGGGUCUCCAUGGGAUCAUGUAGAUACAGCACUCAUGUAGGUAAUAAGCAAUGACACAGAAAGACCUGAUAAAACAGAGAUGGAAACAAAGAUCAAUAAGGUGCAGAUCCUUCAAAGUGUCGCUACUCUCUAGUUCAUAAUACAACAUUAUUAUAACAAGCCCAUUCUUUCACCCAAUUCAUUCUGUUUAUUGUCUACUUCUAGCAAAUAUAUCAAACUUUAUAGUGUAUACACGUAUGUGAGAUAUUGCUAACAACUUUGAGUAGCCUUCUAAUUGUGCAAUGUAUUCAGCAUCACGCAUUGCAACAGAGCCACUAACAAUCCGUGUAACUCUGUGCAUCAUGACUCCAAAACAAGAGGUGAAACCGCAGCUGCACUGCAGCAAAACACACCCAAAGUAACUCCCAAAACGCGACCGCUUAACCACGCAUGCCUAGCGUCCACGGGUAAGCAACUAAGCAAGCAAUUGGGGGCAAUUUCUGAAACCCUAGACGAAAUAGAUGGGUCGAUCAACGGAAAAAUCAACCCUGCCUAGCCAGUAGAACAGCAACCGCGAACAAACACCACAGAUCAAUCAAAAAAAUACUGCAUGAUCGCAUCAAACGACUCGGCAAGCGUAAGGCAGCUAAGCUAAAUCAAUCGUCUCCACCCGUCCGCCCUAACGAAUCGCCCCGCCGUAGAACGCGCGAGCCACGGAGGAGAAUUGAGGGGAGCAGGCGGUACCGACCUAUGGCCGCGCCGGAUCGGAGGGCGGGGGCCGGGGGCGGGGGUUCGAGGCGGUCGUCGCGGGAGGACGUCGGGCGUGGGGAUUGGGGUGGGUUUCUUCCGUUCGCCGGCGUGUGAAGGGGAAGAAGUUGAAGGAAGUGCCGAUGCGGGCACGCCGCACGCGGCUGCCUCAUCUGUACGUUAUCGGGCUCGGGCUUGGGCUGGGUCCUGGUCAAUCCGGUCCGACCUGGGUGGGCAGAGCCGUGACGGAUUCGGUUUGCUUUUCGGACCCGCGGGGCCCACUUCAGGCCCAGGAAGGCAGGUGAUGCGGGAUGAUGGGCCGGCCGGUUUUGCGCCCUCUCCUAUCGUGCUGCCGUGUGACACCGGCCGCUCCGGCCUCCGGCGGCCGCGGCAGAAAGCGAAGCUCGACCGCUCGAGACUGGAGCGGCGCGACGGCGUGGCUCGCCCGGGUUCUUGUCGGCAGCCGCGGCUGCGAGCUGGCGGUGUGGAGGAGGAGGGCGGCCGGCGCCCGCGUCCGGGUCUUCCGUCUGCGCGCCUAUCGCGUGUGAGUCCUCUGCUUAGCUUGUUGCUUCGGUUCCGUGGAAAUAUCGCUGAAAUCUUCCGGGUUAGACCGAAUGCCCAAAUUAUUUUAUUGUCGGUCGUAGAUUUUGAUCUCGGGUGCCUCGAAAUCGAUCGCCCAGAACUACCGACCAGCGAGCUCUGAAGGUUGUCACGCGCCGCUCUUGCCAAAACCAAGAAAUUAUUAUGUCUUGGACUAAAAAAAGAAUCGGAAUGGGAAGUAUUCGAUCUUAUAUUUCUUUGAAUGGGAGUACUAUUUAUUUCUUGAUUCUCCGGCUAGCAUCAUUACUUCCUUCUUCAAUAGAAACUCUCUGUUUUGGCUCGGUUUAAACCCAAAAAAGGCUUCUGCCACACGAAACCUGCUACGGUUAGGAAAUGAACAAAAGGUAUCAAGAGGUCCCUCACCGUCAUUUGCAAUGCAAUUGCCCCCUAUUUGUCAAGUACCCCUCUUCCUAUAUAGUUUAGGGAGUUAAUGUAGCCCUAUCCAGUAUUUUAGUGGUAAGAUUUAUAGGAACGAAAAAAUAUGAUUUUUUUCCUUUCAUUUCAUUAGGGUGCGAGGGGUUCUUAUUCCACAAGAACGAAAUUACCUUUUUCAAUAUACUACAGGUUUUUAUUUAGAAAAGACAAUAUUUCAUACUGAAGGAUUUGGAUCCAUAACCACGAGUUCCAGUGCACUAAGGUCUUGUAGCCCUUGGCAACGAGGCCCUAUCCAAUAGUAUUCCUCAUAGAAAAUCCAUUCUAAAAAAACAACUAAACAAACUUGGGGUUUGUGAGCCAAGGUAAGAUUGAGGCGGAGGAGGAUGGAGAGGUGCUAGCUUGGCAAGAUAGGAAGUUCAAUGUGUAUGUAGACCUCAUGUAGAUUUGGUUUCACUGUUACCACCCUUUUCGAGAUCUUAUAGGAUUAGCAAGAUGUUCUAGUGUUAACUAUAGAGAAAUUUAAUUAAUGAAAUAUAUCUAAAAAGAAAGGAAGCCAUGUCUUUGUGAAAGUCUGAAGAAAAAGGAUUUUGAAUCUUCCUUUUCCCUUUUCCCUCAGAAAAAUGACUCAAUCAAAAUCCGGUCCUAAUAAAUGUUAAUUGCACAGAAUUUUGGGAAACUUGGGAGUAAAACAAAGACUAUCUUAUUCAUUCAUUCAAAUACUGUAUCCAUGAGAAAGUACCAACAACACAGCAUCCAUCCAGUUCCCCUACCGCGACAACACGGGGACUCAACAGGAAAAAGUUCAUCACUGAAUCAAGAACGGUAACAAAGGACAAGCAAAGGCAUAACACCCUCCGAUCUGUGCUCCAUCACUGAAUCAAGAACGGUAAAGCGGAGCGCUCGCCCGCCAUUUAUUUCUCUGGUAAGGACAAAUCAUUUGCCCGAGGUCUCGCCCUCAACAGCCAAUGGGACAGUUUCA